rnacentral:lncRNA from 1 species
UUUUUUUUUUCUUGUAUUAUUCAUCUUAUUUCAUUUAACAUAUUGUUUAUUUGAAGUUUGCUUUAUAUAGGUUACUUUAUUUUAUGCCCAAAAUAUUAUAUAUAUUAUUAUUACUAAAUGUACUUUAUAUUUAUUCAUGUUUGGUUUUAUUUCUCUUUCAAAUAUUAUUAUUACUGUUUUGCUACUGCUCUAGUAUUAUGUUAACAUUUUUCAUGGAUAAUGUCAUUGUUUGCUUCUUUGAUUUAUUCUUAUUUCAUGAAUAUCUUCUAUGUUUUAAUUACUAAUCAAGGCAAUAUAUCGAUUUAACAUUAAGUCAUUGAGUUCAUCGCUAUGUUGGGUGAACAUCAAUUGACUCGUGUUAAAACGGCAUAUCCUUCUCAAAAAACCGGAAUAAACUAAAAUUUCUCAUUUUUUUUUGAUCAUAACUAAACUUUACAUUGAAUUCGUAUUUUUGAAAAUUAAGACAACAUGUGUUUAUGAGAUACCAAUUUUUGGGCGUCGCGAGGGUGCUAAUACCUUCCUCGCGCGUAACCGACUCCCGAACCCUAAUUUUCCUCUAGCUUUUAACAUAGACCUAAAUCCAGCCCUCCUUUUGUUUUAAAAAAAAUGAAUCUAAUAGGUGUCCGAUCACACCUAGGAAAAGGAUCGGUGGCGACUCCCUCUUUAUCUUAAAAUCAAACUUCAGUUUUCAAACUUUUUCACUAGAUUGCCACAAUUAGCGACCCCAAACCAAAAUUUUUACGUCGCUACAGCUGGCGACUCCGCUGGGGACCACCUUGUUGAGAGUCGUGUCUGGAAUUAAACACAUUUUGUCAAAAUUUUCAAAUUUCCUUGUUCAAAGUAAAUAUUUGGUCAUGAUCCGAAAAUCUCGUUUUCAAAAUUCAUGCAUUUGUAUCGUGCUAUAAAUAUUUCUUCUAACUUGCUUAUUUGGUUGUUUUUCAGUGUUUCAAUUUUUAUGGUUUUAAUUUUGGUUUAGUUUCUUUAAGUGAAACGUAAAGGUUUAUGAGUUGUUCCCCACACACCGUGUACUUGCAUUUUCGCAUAACAUGAGCUCUCUACCCGGGCUCUGUCCGUUUAAGUGAAAGUAAACGCUACGCCUUCGUGAGUUAACUCGUCCCUCCGCACAGGCUAGUGAAUACUUUCGGGUUACAUAUGACUUAUGCUUUCGUGAGUUAACUUGUCCCUCCGCAUAGGCAUAAGUAAAUGUAACCCCUCGAAUUGAACUCGUGAGCCUGUGAUAGGCUAUGACCGAGGCUCCGUGUUAAUCUUAGCAGAUGAUAGUACGAGCAAUUCGAGUACCUAUCUAGAACCAAAACCGCAUAUAAUGAACCAUACGAGCCACCUAACUAGAGCCAUGCCGAACCUCUGUCCGCUUAUAGUCACCAAAAUAAGUACACGGGAAAAUGCCUUUUGCCUUUCAUUUACACUGUUUAUGCAAAAUAAUUGGAUUGGGUAGUUUAAUUUGUUUUGCAAAUUAUAUUUGUCGUGUUUACAAACCAAGUUUGUUUGUUUUUACUUUUAUUUUCAUCAUGCAUCAUAGGCAUCAUAUUAGGAAGGUGUUGAUUAAAAGUUGGUUGCCAAAAAACGGGUUUCUGAUGGAGGAGUCAAUUACACAAAUAACCGAGAAGAGUGCCGUGGUUCAGGACUGGUCUCUAAAAAUUCAGAAAGAAAAAGUGGAUAGUCUAGUGGAAGGGUGUAUUGCCAAUUUGCCCGAACAUAUAAUUGUAAAUGUUCGCCAAAAUAACCUUGAGGAUUUGGUUCGAAUUUGGAAUCAGUGGGAUUCAGACACUAGAGACAUUUUAACUGAGAGGUAUGGGGAUAUAGCUCACCUGAUCACCAUCCGUGUAGACGAACAGUUGAUUCAAGCCAUGGUUCGAUUCUGGGACCCAGCUUAUCAGUGUUUCACCUUCAAUCAAGAAGACAUGACUCCAACCAUAGAAGAGUAUGCUGCUUUACUCCGCAUCGACAAUGUACAAUUCGGCAAAAUAUAUGUGAAGGAGCCUAAGCCGAUGACCUUCAAGAAAAAGUUAGUGAGACUGACAGACAUGACUGAUGCAUGGGCCGAAAAACAGAUAAAGAAGAAGAAUGAAACCAUUUGCUUUCCAUGGACCUCCCUACGAGAUUUGGCUCUGAACCAUCCCAACAUGCUGAAAAGGGUAAAUCUAUUCACUUUGGCUAUUUACGGUUUGGUCAUUUUCCCAAAAGUUCUCGGACAUCUCGAAGUUGCAGUAGUUGAUUUCUUCGAAAGGUUAAGACAAGGAAUCAACCCUGUCCCGACCAUCCUAGCUGAGACCUUCAGGUCCCUGAAUAGUUGUCGAAGAAAAGGAGAGGGACGAUUUAUCGGAUGCGCGCAGUUGCUCAAUGUUUGGAUUUUGAGUCACUUCUGGAAGGUAGAGCGCACUCCGUUCCACAUGUUUUCUAAAACAUUCUCCCCGCUAGAAGCUUACCUCAAGAAAGAAUGGCCGAAGGAAGUCACCGAGCAACAUUGGGUAUCAGUUUUUCAGAAUCUUCGCGCCGAGAAUAUAACAUGGAGAGCACCCUGGAUCCGUCCUUCAGUUCUGCUAUACAAAUGUGGAAGCCAAGAUUGGGUACCUCUACUCGGGUUAUGGGGAGGAGUUGGAUAUGCCCCGCUAUUAGUCCAAAGGCAGUUUUCUUCGCGACAAUUCCUCCCCGCAACUGGAGGAUUAGCACAGUUCGAGUUCGCUUUCGCGGGUGAAGGAUAUAUGAAGAGAGUCCGAGACACUGCAAAGUAUUGGAAGGAAAUUCAUUUAAUGGAAUUAGCUUUGUAUGCUGAUACCCUUACCCAAGAUUACGACAUAUGGAGGAAGCAACGGAUAAAUAGUCAGCAAAUCUCAUCAACAAACUACACCAUCCAGAAUCCUUUAUCGGAGGAAACGCCCUCUGAGCUAGAAAUGGCAAGACAAGAAUUCGAACGAGAAAAGGCCAAGAUGUCUCGGGACCUUAGUGCCCUUUAAGAAGAAAACUAUCAACUGAAGAUUGAAAUUCAGGUUGAAAGGUCCAGGACUGAAAAAGUACAAAAAGAAGCCGAGAUUGUGAGAAACGACUUGAGGAACCUUCAUUUGGAAAACAAGAAAUUAAGAAACACUAUAAAUAAUAGCGGGUUGGGCAAAUCGACAGCAGAAUGGAAGGAAGAAAUUAGCAAUAUCAAUGGAGGAAUGGAGUUUUGGAAGGGAAAAGCAAAGAAAGAGGAGGAAAAGGCUGCGCGCGCUGUGAUAGAGUUAAGAAGGAAGAACGCCGAGUAUGAAAUAGUGGCUGCAAAAUUGGCAAAUAGUCAGUCUAAACAUCAAGAAUUAAAAAGGAAAACACGAGAUCUAGAAAAUAUGUUGCAAUCUCGUCAACAACAAUUAGAUAACCUCUUGAAGGCUCUAGAAGAAAAGAGUGAGCAGUACGAUAGGGACAUUCACGCGUAUGAAGGAACUCUCAAAGAAAAAGAAAUGCAACUUGACUUUUUGAUCAAUGAAAUUCGUAAAGCGGCUAUGCAAGUUGUUCAAUUAUCAGAUGAAGCCGAAGUUCUCAGUUGCCAAUUCCCUCCGAGCCAAAGAUCGAGCAUAUCAGAGUUUUUAGAGCAAGUGAAGAAGCAAGGCAAUGUGGCUAGGAAAUUUGUGUAACUGUUGGAAAAAUGAGAACUUUGUGUAAUAGACUAUGUUGAUAAAUGAAAUGCCUAAAUAUGGGGCUAUCUUGAAAUCAACACCAAUUUCUUGCAUUUCAUUCAUAACUAACAUUCAUUUGACAUUCAUGCAUCAAUUCAUUCAUUACAUAUCCCAUACUCGUUCGCUGAGGUUAAAACGUACAAUUCGCAGUUGCAAGACUUCAAGACUGGAACCACGUCAUCCGUAUAAAACGCGCCGACAAGCUAGAGUAAUAGAGAAUGAAUUCAAUGAGAGAAUUGAAAGGAUAGAAAGGGCUCAAAAGGAAUUACAAGAGCAACUAGCCAAAUCGCAACAAGAGACGAGAGACCUAAUGGUGAGAACUCGAGAGGAAUCUCUCGAGCAAAGAGAUCAGAUGGCUAAAAUGAUGGAGAUGAUGACCACUUUGGUCAAAGGAAAGGGACCUAUGCAGAGUCCUGAAGUCGUAGAGCCACCUCAUACAAGAGCUAAUCAAGACCCACUUUAUCCCCCAGGAUUUACUCCACCUCAUGUCCAGGCAAUGCAACGAGGAUACCCCCAAAGGGAGCCUACAGGCCUAGAACAACAUCCUGCUCCACCCACUAAUUUGGGGCAAGGAAUGUUAGCAUCGAACCCAGGGGCUAGUCCUGCCAAUCCACUAGUUCCAGAUCUGGAUGACCCAGCAGAGGUAGCCAAGUUGAAAUUGGAUAACCAUGACGUAAAAUAUAGGAGUCUAGAGGAAAGACUCAAAGCAAUAGAAGGCACUGACGUCUUCUCCGCACUAGGUGCCAAGGAACUCAGUUUGGUACCUGAUCUAAUUUUGCCUCCGAAGUUCAAAGUGCCUGAUUUUGAGAAGUAUGAUGGGACAAGGUGCCCAAAAGCACAUCUCAUUAUGUUCUGUCGAAAAAUGACCGGUUAUGUGAACGAGGACAAACUACUCAUACAUUGCUUUCAAGAUAGUCUAACAGGGACAGCUCUUCGGUGGUACAAUCAACUUAGUAGAGAAAAGAUUCGAUCCUGGAAGGACUUGGCGUCAGCAUUUUGCGAACAGUACAAGCAUGUAUCGGAUAUGGUGCCAGACCGUAUGACCUUGCAAAUGAUAGAGAAAAAGCCAUCAGAGACUUUUAGACAGUAUGCGCAGAGAUGGAGAGACGUCUCAGCUCAAGUGGAACCCCCAUUAACAAAAACGGAGAUAACCGUUCUCUUUAUCAAUACUUUAAAUGCGCCGUUUUAUGACAAAUUAGUGGGAAGUGCCACGAAAGAGUUUACAGAUAUUGUAAUAUCUGGUGAACUCAUAGAGAAUGCCGUCAAGAGCGGUAGAAUGGAAGGAUUAGAAGGCUCAAGAAAAGCAGCACCCUUAAGGAAGAAAGAGCCAGAAGCCCUCAUGGUGGGAACUGGGAGUCGUUACAUUCCCAAUUCGUAUCCUAAUCAACCCCGACCUCGAAAUUAUCCACCCCCGAAUUCCUAUUAUCCCCCUCAAACCCCUUACUACCAAGCACCAUAUCCAUCCUGCCCCGUAUACGCCACAAACAACCAAAGACCCGUCACCACUUUCCCACAAAACACGGUACCCGCCCAAUCAAGGCAUAAUCCCGAGAGACCGCAAUUUACCCCCAUCCCUGUGUCGUAUGGGGAAUUGUGCCCAAAACUUUUAGAAAAACAGCUAAUUUCUCCCCAUUACAUGGCACCCCUUAAACCUCCAUACCCAAAGUGGUACGAUCCAAACGCUAGUUGUGCAUACCACGCAGGGAACCAAGGGCACUCUACUGAGAACUUUUUCGCUUUCAAAAGGAGAGUUCAAGGACUCAUUGACGCGGGUAUCCUACGAUUCGAUAGUGCUAGUAACGCCACGGGGAACCCGUUCCCUAACCAUACUGAAGGAAAUGUGAGCACAGUGGGGAAAGAGGAUGAAUGGAAGGUCAGAAGAUGUGUAUCAGAAAUAAGGACGCCUCUACAGAAAAUCUGGAGGUAUUGGUUAAGAAUGGAUUGCUCUGUCACUCUGAUAGAAUUUUUGGAGAAGAAGGUCAAAGUUUUUACAAUUUUCAUGGAAUUGUUGGACAUGACAUUCAGUCGUGCGAGGACUUUAAAAGUUUACUUCAAGACCGGAUGAAUAAUAAGGAGAUCAAGGUCCUUAACAAGAGUGAAGAUGCCAACGAAAGAGAAGUAUGCGUCUCUGAUAGCCAAUCAUCAGGGCCCCCUUAUAGUGCUGAUCGACCGUUGGUAAUUUAUUACGACGCGAUGAGAGAGCCAUUGAAACCACAGAUGGUAAUUGAAGUACCAUCUCCUUUCCCGUAUAAGGACAACAAAACAGUACCGUGGAGAUAUGAUGUUAAUAUCGUUACACCGGAAGUUGAAAAGUCCAAAGCCAUAAUUGAAUAUGUUGGGGAGGUAGGUCAUUUUACUCGAAGUGGACGAUGCUAUUCUAAAGAAGUUGAACCGGUAAAGAAAAGUAGUGACUCGAAGCAAAAAGGGAAAACAGUGAUGUACGAGGUCGAAGUCGAGCAAGAAAUUCCACCCGUGCAAGAAACUAAAAAGCCUGUGAAUGAGGAAGAAGCUCAAGAAUUCUUGAAAUUUAUUAAGCACAGCGAAUAUAGUGUGGUGAAACAAUUGAGCAAGCAGUCAGCACGAAUCUCAGUUCUAUCUCUACUGUUAAAUUCAGAGCCACACCGGAACGCUUUAUUGAAUGUGUUAAAUCAAGCUUACGUGGCCAACAACAUAUCUGUCGAAAAGCUUGAUAGGUGGGUAAACAAUUUGAAUGCGGACAACUUCAUCUCUUUUAGUGAUGAUGAGAUACCGCCAAAUGGUAGAGGCUCGGUGAAGGCGCUGCAUAUCACGACCCGCUGCAAAGGCUACAUAAUACCGAACGUACUCAUCGAUAAUGGGUCAGCGAUAAAUGUUAUGCCAUUGGCUACGCUUUCCAGAAUACCGAUGGAUUUGUCCUACUUAAAGCCCUGUCAUUCCACGGUAAGGGCAUUCGACGGGACGAGGCGCGAAGUCAUGGGAAAGAUCGAAAUCCCUUUGGAAGUGGGUCCCUACAUCUAUGAGGUUGAAUUCCAAGUCAUGGACAUUACACCCUCUUAUAACUGCCUUUUGGGAAGACCUUGGAUUCAUUCUGCUGGAGCAGUCCCAUCAUCCCUCCAUCAAAAGGUGAAAUUCAUCAUGGAUGGCUGUUUGGUCACAGUCGAGGGCGAAGAAGACAUCGUCGCAUCUACCUCUGCUAAUUCGCCAUACCUGGAAGUAAGCAAGGACGCAGUGGAAUGUUCCUUUCGAUCCCUUGAAUUCAUCAAUGCCACUUUCGUCGUUGAGGGAAAUAGAAUUCCGAUGCCAAAACUGUCGAGAAAUACCAGAAUGGGUGUCAAGUUGACCGUAGGAAGGGGAGCUCGUGCGAGAAGAGGUUUAGGGAGACAUCUGCAAGGAAUAGUGAGGCCUUUAAAGCCAGUGCAGCACAAGGCCCGAUACGGUUUGGGGUUCCAGCCUGACAUGCGCCAAAGAAGAAGAUAGUGGAAGAAGGAUCAAGAGAGAAGAAUUGCAAGAACUUUGGCCCGAGAACCAGAAUGGGAACCAAUAGAGUACCCUCCUUUGUCAAAAACAUUUACAUCUGCGGGAAUGAUGUACCCUGAACAAGAUGAUCCACGAAACAUGCUGGGAUUAAUUGAAAGGGAUUUUCAGAAUGUCAGUAUAAAUGUCAUUGACAAAGAAGCUGGUGCAAGUAAAGAUGUCUCGAGGAUACGCCCUUGCCCUCCUGGUUUCAUGUUGAACAAUUGGAUUGCUGAGGAGCUUCUUGUAGUUUAUAAGCCUUCAGAGUAAUGCUAAACAUCAACCUUCUAUUGUGUCCUUAGAUAUAAUAGAAUUCUUUUGUAAGAGUUUGCAUUCGCUCUUUAUCGUUUAAAUGAAUAUCAAUGAAGAUACAUUUUGUCACGAUUUUUCGCAUUAUCACUAAUUUCAUAAUCAUUUUCUCAUCCUUACAUUUGCCUCAUUACCAUGACAUAACAUUUGUUUGUUGUUUCCAAUACUUGGAUGUCCCCCUAUAGCUUCCUUUUCCAUUCAACUUUCAGGUGCUCAGAUAUUGACGACAUGAAUAAGCCCGUUACGAAUCUUGAAAUUGAUUUUGAGAAGGCUGUUUGCUUAGGAGAAUUUGAAGCCGAAGAAAAUGCUGAAGAUUAUGUCUCAUCUCCUGAAUUGUUAAGGAUGGUGGAACAAGAGGAUAAACAGGUUCUGCCUCAUGAAGAAUCUGUGGAAACAAUAAAUUUGGGCACUAAAGAGAGGAAACAAGAAGUGAAGAUUGGGACUUCUAUUUCAGAAAGUACCAGGCAUAGUUUGAUCACUUUAGUCCGCGAAUACAAAGAUAUUUUCGCGUGGUCAUACCAGGACAUGCCAGGGCUAGAUGAAGAUUUAGUGGUCCAUAAGCUCCCAUUAAAGCCAGAAUGCAAGCCCAUCCAGCAAAAAUUAAGACGGAUGAGGCCCGAAAUGCUGUUGAAAAUAAAAGAGGAAGUCAAGAAGCAAUUUGACGCUGGCUUCCUACAAGCCUCCAAAUAUCCAGAAUGGGUGGCUAACAUAGUCCCGGUACCAAAGAAAGAUGGAAAAGUACGAAUGUGCGUGGAUUACCGUGACCUGAAUCGAGCAAACCCAAAAGAUAAUUUUCCCUUGCCACAUAUUGAAACGUUGGUGGACAACACAGCAAAACAUUCAUUGUUUUCUUUCAUGGAUGGAUUCUCAGGGUAUAAUCAGAUCAAGAUGGCCCCUGAGGAUAUGGAGAAAACUACCUUCAUAACAAUGUGGAGAACGUUCUGCUACAAGGUGAUGCCAUUCGGGUUAAAGAAUGCUGGGGCAACAUAUCAGAGGGCUAUGGUGACAUUAUUCCAUGACAUGAUGCAUAAGGAAAUAGAGGUCUACAUCGAUGAUAUGAUUGCUAAAUCUCGAGGAGAAGAAGAGCAUGUAAUGAACCUCAAGAAGUUGUUCGAAAGGCUGAGAAAGUUUCAGCUAAAGCUUAAUCCCGCCAAAUGUACAUUCGGGGCUACCUCGGGAAAGUUGCUAGGCUUCAUUGUCAGUGAAAGAGGUAUCGAAGUUGAUCCAGAUAAAAUAAAAGUCAUCCAAGAAUUACCACCUCCGCGCACGCAAAAGGAAGUUAGAGGAUUUUUAGGGAGAUUAAAUUACAUCGCCCGAUUUAUCACUCAACUUACCAACCAAUGCGACCCAAUUUUUCGACUCCUUCGAAAACAUAACCCGGGAGAAUGGAACGAGGAGUGCCAAGUGGCCUUCGAUAAGAUAAAACGGUAUCUGUCUAAUCCUCCUGUGCUAGUACCACCGACCCCUGGAAAACCCUUAAUUUUGUACCUGACCGUGUUUGAAAACUCAAUGGGUUGCGUACUGGGGCAACAUGAUGAGUCAGGGAGAAAAGAAAAGGCGAUCUACUACCUCAGCAAAAAGUUCACUGAAUAUGAGGCAAAAUAUUCGUCCAUUGAAAAAUAUUGUUGCGCUCUGGUUUGGGUAGCUCGGAGACUCAGACAAUAUAUGUUGUAUCACACGACAUGGCUAAUUUCAAAGCUGGACCCAAUAAAAUACAUGAUGGAAUCGCCGGCACUAUCAGGAAGAAUGGCACGAUGGCAGAUCCUCCUUUCGGAAUAUGACAUUGCCUAUGUAAGUCAGAAGUCAAUAAAAGGGAGCGCAAUAGCUGACUUCUUAGCAACUCGAACGAUAGAGGAAUAUGGGCCUUUAAGAUUCGAUUUCCCAGACGAAGACUUAAUGUGCAUCACAGAAAUAGAAUCCGAGUCAUCAAAAGAGAAGUCAUGGAAGAUGUUCUUUGAUGGUGCGUCAAAUGCUUUAGGGCGUGGAAUUGGAGCAAUCCUGGUAUCACCAGACGGGAAUCAUUAUCCGUUCACUGCAAGACUGAACUUCUUCUGUACCAAUAAUAUCGCAGAAUAUGAGGCCUGUAUCAUGGGGCUUCGUGCAGCUAUCGAACGAAACAUCGAGAUCUUGGAGGUGUACGGGGACUCAGCCCUAGUGAUUUACCAAAUCCGUGGAGAAUGGGAAGUGAGGGACUCAAAAUUGAUUAAGUACAGCGAUUUAGUGGCUGGAUUGAUCAAGGAAUUCAAAGAAAUAACUUUUCAUUACUUCCCACGAGAAGAGAACCAACUGGCUGAUGCCCUAGCCACUUUGGCUUCAAUGUUCAAAGCAAGUAGAGAAGCAGAAAUGAUGCCCCUCAAAAUGAGCAUAUACGAGGUCCCUGCACACUGCUGUAGCAUUGAGAAAGAAGUAGACGAACGGCCUUGGUUCCAUGAUAUCUUAGAAUAUAUCAAGAAUCAAAGGUAUCCCGAACAAGCGAAUGAGAACGAUAAAAGAACAAUUAGAAGCAUGGCAGCGGGAUUUGUUCUUGAUGGGGAUAUUCUGUAUAAAAGAGGAAAGGAUCAGAUGCUUUUGAGAUGUGUGGAUGAUGUUGAAACCAGAAAAAUACUUGAAGAGGUCCAUGAGGGAAUUUCCGGAACGCAUGCCAAUGGUUUCAAUAUGGUCAGAAAGAUCAUGAGACUCGGUUAUUAUUGGCUGACAAUGGAAAGUGACUGCAUCAAUUUUGCCAGAAAAUGCCACAAAUGUCAAAUCUACGGUGAUAAAAUUCAUGUAGCCCCUUCACCCCUUCAUGUCAUGACUUCUCCGUGGCCUUUUUCUAUGUGGGGCAUGGAUGUCAUAGGGCCAAUUUCUCCAAAAGCUUCAAAUGGACAUCGAUUCAUUUUUGUGGUUAUCGAUUACUUCACAAAAUGGAUUGAAGCCGCUUCGUUUGCCAACGUGACGAAGACUGCAGUGUGCAAGUUUUUGAAAAAGGAAAUCAUUUGCCGAUAUGGUUUGCCUGAAAGAAUCAUCUCAGAUAAUGCCACGAAUCUGAACAAUAAGAUGAUGAAAGAAGUGUGCGAGCAGUUCCAAAUAAAGCAUCAUAAUUCCUCGCCCUAUCGCCCAAAGAUGAACGGGGCUGUUGAAGCAGCUAACAAGAACAUUAAGAGGAUCAUUGGGAAAAUGACUGAGACAUAUAAAGAUUGGCACGAGAAACUUCCAUUUGCUUUGUUUGCAUAUCGCACAUCUGUGCGAACAUCUACGGGAGCAACUCCUUUCUCUCUAGUCUAUUGAAUGGAAGCUGUGCUACCUAUCGAGGUUGAGAUCCCCUCUCUGCGAGUAUUGAUGGAAUCAAAGUUAGAAGAAGCAGAAUGGGUUCGAGCUCGAUAUGAUCAGUUGAACCUCAUUGAAGAAAAACGUCUAAGGGCAAUUUGUCAUGGGCAAAUGUACCAAAAGAGAAUGAUCGCAGCCCAUGACAAGAAGGUACGACCAAGAGAGUUCCAUGAAGGAGAACUCGUUCUGAGAAAAAUUCUCCCAAUACAAAAAGACCUGCGAGGAAAAUGGGCACCAAAUUGGAAAGGACCAUACGUUGUAAAAAAGGCAUUCUCAGGAGGAGCUUUAAUCCUUACCGAGAUGGAUGGGAAGGAGUUACCGAAUCUGGUGAAUUCAGAUGCGGUGAAGAAAUAUUAUGCUUAAGAUGAAAACCCGAAAAGGGCAUCUUAAAAAAAAAGAAAUAACAAAAAAAGAAAAAAGAAAAAAGGGGGAUCAGGGCGAAAACCCGAAAAGGGCGUCUUGAUUAGUACAAAAAGAUUAGGAUGAAAACCCGAGAGGGCGUCCUAAUGAAACAAACCUGGCGGUCGAACGAUAGGUCAAGUAGUGAGACUACAGUAUUUGAAGCACUUCUGAAAGCUCGAAAUUUUCUACGCAAGAAGCCAUGCUCGAAAAGAUUAUUGAUUGAGGAAUGUGGAAGAGUUCAUGUGUUGAAUAUCUAGAGCAUUUGUAUCCGUUGAAUACGACCUUUUCUUUCUUUUUGACAUUUUUACUCUCAUUGGUUAACUUUCUUUGUUUGCCACAUUUGAAAUAAAGGAAUAUGAGAUAUCCUUUUUGUCCCUACCUGACCAUUUUCAUGCAUCUCAUUAUGUGUUUAUUUAAUGAUAAAUAGUGAAAUGACAUACUCUAAACAAAAGAAAUGUCAAGCAUUACCCGGAUAAGAAUUUGAUAAGCGCAAGAUCUUCAAAGCAAGAACAAAGUUUAACCAAGGGCAAAAGGGUGAUAUCUGAGAAACGUCGAUUACUCGUAAAGCUCGAAGACAGGUAUGAGGCCUGAAGAGAAUGUCGAGAAUCAAAGCGAUGAACGCAGAUCCUCAACAAUCAUGGCGAAAAUGACAUACGAACAAUAUGCUUAAGGAGCACUGCAUAAUCAUGUAGGCAUAAAGGCAUUUAAGACAAACAUGUGCAUAUCAUGAUGACAUCAUGCAUGGCAUAUACAGGUAAUCCAGUAAAGCAAGAAAUCUUGAAUGAGUGUCGCACUGAAUCAAAGGAAAAGAUACCCGAGUUCUACCAAAGGACUGGUUUUGGUAUUUUGAUGUUUAAUAUUCAUGCUUUCCAAGGAAAAUCAACUCAUAUUGUGAGAGAUGAGUUGAGCCUCAAGACACGUUGAGGUAUUUUUAAUUUUUUUUAAAAAUCAACUCAUAUUGCGAGAAGUGAGUUGAGCCUCAGGGCACGCCGAGGUAUUUUUAGUUUAUGUUUUCAAAAUCAACUCAUAUUGCGAGAAGUGAGUUGAGCCUCGGGGCACGUCGAGGUAUUUUUAGUUUAUGUUUUAAAUUGACUCAUAUUGCGAGAAGUGAGUUGAGCCUCGGGGCACGCCGAGGUAUUUUUAGUUUAUGAUUUCAAAAUCAACUCAUAUUGCGAGAAGUGAGUUGAGCCUCGGGGCACGCCGAGGUAUUUUUAGUUUAUGUUUUAAAUUGACUCAUAUUGCGAGAGGUGAGUUAAGCCUUUUAAUUUUUGUUUUUCAAAAUCAACUCAUAUUGCUAGAGGUGAGUUGAGCCUCAGGACACGCUGAGGUAAUUUCAAUUAGCGACCCCAAACCAAAAUUUUUACGUCGCUACACCAACGUUUUCACAUUGUAUCAAUUUAGUCUUAAUUUUUUUUUAAAAUUUAACUCUCAAUGUUUACACAUUACCUAAUUUUAUCCUAUUUUUUACAUGAAAGUAUAAUUUAAUACAGCAAAAUGAUUUUUUAAAAUUUUAGUUUAUUAUUAAAGUAGACAAUCCUCAGAACUAUUACUUUCCUUAUAUUUCUAACCACUGAAAACUUAAUAUCCCUCAAUGAUAAUUAAUUCAUUUUUUGUUAGCUUGAGUUUGUUGUCAUUGAUGAAGCAAAUCAAAGCUCAAAAAAUUAAUAUUUUUUUAAGGUUAUUUGACUUACAAUUGGAUUAAAUUAACGAAGCAAGUAUUUUUUAUUUUCAAGCAAUUAAAUUGACUAAUUUUCAAAUUUUGGGUCAUUUUGUUUCUUGUUGUUGUUCAUUUUUUUUCAUUGAAUUAAAUGUAAAGAUAAUAUCAACAAGGGCCACAAAGAAAAGUAAAACUGAAAAAAGAUCAAAUAAUGCAAUUUGCAAACGUUGAUGGUUUUCAUUUUUUAGAAUCAAUACUAAAUUGGCACAAUGUAUAAAUGUUGAGGGUUAAAGUUGUUAUUAUGACAAUUUUAAAAACUACCAUGUCAACUUCCCAGCACUUAUUUAAUGACAAGUGUCCAAAAAAGAAAAAAUUGAAUAGUUGAGUGGCCAUUUUAUAAUUGGGUGACAAAACAAAACUUACUAAUAUUUGACUGACUAUCAAUAUAGUUUACCCAAUAUUUAAUAUAAUUGAAUCCUAAACAUGAUUGCUUCCUUAAAACUUAAAAGAGUAAAAUUUUCUUAUCAUGUAUAUUAAAUGCUUAUUUAAAGUUGUAAAAAAUAUGUUGAUCGAGUCUUAGUUUGGUUGGCGUCGACGUUGUUGCUAGUGCAGAAGAUCGUGGAUUUGAGUGCGUUGAAGCACAUUAUUCUCAUAUUUAAGGAUUGAGAGGUGCUAUAGGUAGUUUUAGGUAUUGUAUUAAAAAGAGCAGAUAUGAUAAGAACCUAUAAUGAUAUUAAAGUUUAAAAAAAUUGUAAAAGUUAUAUAUAGUAUUCUAUUAUAUAUUCAUUUACUUUAAUCUUAUCCGUUCAAAAAAAAAUUAAAACAAAUUUUAUUAAAAAUCACAAUUUAUAAAUUAAUGAAUUAAUUGUAGAUAAACUUAUUACAUUUUAGUUAAAUUAAUUAAUUUUAUUUAUAUAUUAAUUAAUUUAAAAUAAAUUAAAAUUACAUACUUAAAUACAAAAAAAUUAAUUAAUAAAAGUUUCACAUUUAGUUUUUUAAAUUAUAAAAUAUACUAAUAUCACGUGACUUCAUUUUAAAAUAGUUAUUGAUUUAGGUUUAAUGAUAAAAAAGGUUUCUCCAAUCCCUUAAUUUUAAAAAUGAGCAAUUAAGGAUAAUUAAUCAUGGUGUUAAUAUCUUUAGUCAAUUGUGCAUAAUUUGAUUGGUAUAAAAACAAAUUUAGCCCUUGAUGUUUACAUAUUUUGUUACUUCGGUAUUGAUUCUAAAAAAAUCAACAAAUUUAGCCUCAACAUUUACACACUUACAAAAAUAUUGCGGGCUAAAUUUGUUAAAUCAUGACCAAAUUGAUAGAAUGUGUACAUUAUGAGAGCUAAAUUUGUUAUUAUACCAGUUGAAAUCAUGUAAAAUUGACUAAAAUCAUUAACUCUAUGAUUAAUUGUUCUUAGUUGCUCGCUUUCGAAAUUGACAAGGGUUAAAUUGCUCCUUUUUUUAGAGAGACCAAUUUGCUCGAUAUUGAAAUGAGAGGAAUUUUUUUACCUAAGUUUAGCAUAUUUUUUAUAAUCAAAUUAUGUAAUUAUUUAGUAAUUGCUAGUACAAUUAAAAUAGUUUACCUAUUGCAUAUAAAUUAAUUCCAAAGCCCAAAACUUAUUACCCCUUUACUCAUUACUCACAAGUAUAUAAAAUAGUUGUCGAGUAAUAAAUUACAAUGAAAUAAUUGUGUUGAUAGAAACAUUUUGGGUAUUAAACUUACAAAGAAAUUGGACUAACUACAAUUAAUAAUUAAAUAGCACAACUUAAAUAAUCAAAUAAGCUAAUUACUAUUCUAAAAUUAUACAAGAGUACUAGUACAAUUAUAAAGAAGAUUUUUUAUUAAAUUAAAUUAAAUUAAUCUAACAAAAUAAAGAAAACAAAGUAAAUUAUUUAUAGAGUAGAUUGUGUUGAUAUGCUCAAAGAUAGAAACGGUGAAGUAAUAUUCAAUUAAUAAGAACUAUUAAUCUAUUUUAAUUAUUAAUGGAUUUAGGGUUUAUAAUUAAGAUGAUCAUCAAGAUGUAGAUACUUGAGUUGUGUAGAGCUUACAGGUGUUUAGAGAACUCCUAAGUUGGUGUAUGGCUUUAGGAAUUAACUAAACCAUUGAUCAUCACUAUCAUCAAUUCCCCACUAUCACAGUUGGUGUGUAUCUUAUAGGUAGCCUUACGAUUGGUGUGUAUCUUAGUGAGUUGGGUAACUAUCCAAUUAGAUCGCUAAGGUUAAGCCAAUAUCUCAUCGCACACUCUCUUAAUUUAUUUCUUAAUUAUGAAGAUCAAAUGGAUAGCUAAUCUAGCCACAAUACUUAUCUUUGACAUAAUUCAAUUAUUAAUCCAUUAACCUACGAUUCAUUCACCACCACUUAGACAAUUAGUUCAUAUCGGGAAUCAAAUUAACCAUAAUCAAAAAUAAUAUAAACAUAAAUAACGUGUAACACCCAGACCCCAAUAAACUUGAAAUUAAGAAUGAAUAACGGAUUGAAUUGAAAAAAACCGCAAGCUGAUAACCUAUAUUGGAAGAAAUGGGAAAGCUAGAAACCGAAUUGGACAUGGUUAAGAUUCAAUUCUGGUUCGGUUAGGAUGAAACCGCUCUGUUCCUUAGUGGGAGACAUAAUAAUUAACAAUGGACAGUGCUCAUGAGGUCGAUACUAGAGCGGGAAGGGCUAUAAAUAGCUGGGAUAUAACUCCAAAGGUUGAUUUUCUUUGCUGUUUUGUUUCAGUUUCUCCUAUUAUUCAUCUUCUUCGGUAGCUCGAAGAAGGUAUAGCCAUGGAAGGCUCUGUAUGGAGCAUACUUCGUAAGGAUAGAGCUGAAAAAAUAAAGGAACCAGUAAGUGUAUAACAUCCCAGUUCUGGUGGAUAUAAAGUUUUAGGCGUAUAGCAGUAAGUAGUAUGUCUGUCGUGGUGUUAAUUAACCGCCACUUGAGUUAGUAAGAAUUUAAUUUCAUGAUAUUCUACUAUAUUAAGGAGACGUUCGUGUUAAGUGAUAACACUCUAAAAUAACGUAUUUUUUUGUAUUAAUUAUGUAUUUAUUAUGAGUAUGAUCCUGCUAAUUUGAGCUAUUUAUGAUCUUUUAUCUCAUAGGGACUAAAUUUGAGGCAAAAGCAAAAUUAAGGGCCAAAAGUGUGAAUUUAGAGAUAAAAUGGGCCAAUGUGUGACACAAAGAAAAGUUGGUGCCAAAAGUGCAAGCAUGGAGGACACAAUGGUUGAAAUGCAAAAAGAAGAGAUUUUAUUCUAUCAAACACUAUUUUAAUUAUAUUAGGAUAAUUAAUAUUAAGAUAAUUAUUAAGGAUUAUCUAAUUUUAGGAUUUUAUUUUAUUUAUCUUUAUUUAUCUUCAAUUAAAUGUAUUUAUCUUUUGAGAAUUUAAGUAGGAUUAGACUAUCUCCCCUAGCACUAUAAAUAUGGGGUGAAGUGACUCAAAAGAGAUCUCAUCUUUUUCUAUAAACACUCUCUCCCAAAAAGUCUAGGCUUUUGUUCUUCUCAUAUUUUCUUUCAAUAAAAUCUCUAUUUUUUUAUUUAUUUUCCUUUUCACCACAACCAUGAGCCACUAAACCCAUCUAGCCAAAGGUUGUCGAAAAUCCCCAAAAAGGUUCAUGGGGCUUAGAAUCCGUACUUAGCCUUCUCAACGAGUAUUCAUCAUUUAUCCGCACUACGGGGCUGACGCUUCCGUCCAUGUCCCUUAAGAAGUAAGCUUUCCAACGUAUGCAAAGGCGGCCGCUUUGUAUGUUUUGGGAAGGUUGCACAGUCGGUUCGUUAGCUUACUGCGUCAGAGGUUGGCGAGCCCAAGAGACAAAAUGGCGUGGGAUUCGCCAUUGAGAAGCGUUGAUCUAGCAUAAGACGAUCCCACAGAAGCAAUUGUUUGCUAGAGUCAGGUUCCACCAAAUCGUAAGUCUAAAUCCUUGGAGCUGGUGGUCGUAAGCGUCCUCUUCCACUAUAACUGGCUUAUUCGGUUUGGGGAGGAUCAUCUAAAAGUCGAGGAUUGAACCCAAGGCGGAACGAGACAACUGGAGGCUGGAAUAUCCCAUAAGAAUUUUCUUUCUCUCAACUCUAUUUUUAAUUACUCAAAUUUUUAAUUUAAUAUUCUUAAUUCUAUUUUUAUUUUAUUUUUCGUUUCCAAGAUCCAAACCAUUAAUUCUAUUUUAUUUUUUAGUUUUUAUUUUUUUCCAGGAAUACAGGUUUUCUUGGGCAAGAUUCUGCCUGGGAUUUCACGGAAUAAGAAAUUGUGCAAAUCCAGUCCCUGAGGAUUUGACCCUACUUCCCUUUUACUAUUCUUUUUCAUUAUUUAUCAGGGAUAGGAUAUUUUUGGUGCUUUCAAUGACCGCAUCAAAUUUUUGCACCGUUGCCGGGGAUUGGCAACGUACUAAUCUUGUUUUUUGUUUCUUAUGACCAGAUCUGCUCCAGGUACUCUUGCGUUCGAUUCAGAAAUUGAGAAGACUGCUACAGCCAAUCAUAAGGAGACAAAGUUACUAAAAAAGCAGUCAGCGGUGGUUGGAACUCAAAGUAACCUACUGCCAGAAAUCGAAGCCGACGACGAAGCUGAGUUUAGGGUUAACGAAAACCCUACUCGAACACUUGAAAGCGAAAAAGUAGAAAUCGACUCACCAGAAGAAGUGCUUAAUGCUAGGGUUAACGAAAACCCGAAUCUAGUACACCAACCAAUGGCUCAAACGAUUCGAGAACUGGCCGAAGCUCCGACAAAAAAACCACCAUUAUGCAUCGCGUAUCCUAAUGUGGAUACUGAUUUUGAGUUGAAGUCAAGUUUAAUCCAGUUACUGCCAACUUUUCAUGGGUUGUAAAAUAAAAAUCCCCACAAACAUCUGAAAAAGUUUCAUAUGAUUUGUCUUAGCCUGAAACCUCAGGGGGUAACUGAGGAUCAGAUUAAAUUAUGUGCUUUCCCUUUCUCCCUAGCAAAUUCAACUAAGGAAUGAUUAUUUUAUUUACCCCUUGGAUCUAUUACAACUUGGGCUGAUCUAUCUCGUUUGUUUCUGAACAGGUUUUUUCCAGCGUCUCGAGCAACAGAGCUAAGAAGAAAGAUCGUUGGAAUAAGGCAAAAAGAAGCUGAGUCUCUUCAUGAUUAUGGUAUAACGGAGUCUCCUCCAAUAUUUUUACGAAGGUUUGAAGCCCAUGGAGAUGAAUAUGGUAGACGCCGCUAGUGGAGGAGUAGUGGUCAACAUGACUCCCCAACAAGCGAGAGACUUGAUCUCCACAAUGGCUGCAAAUUCUGAACAGUUUUGAGCCAAUACUGAACCCCCUAGAAGGGUUCACCAGCUAAGUAAUUCAACCUUAAAGGAUAAAGUUAAUAGACUUACUAAUAUGAUGAACUCUCUUAUUGCAAAAAAAGUGAAGAUAGCCCGGUUAUGUGGAAUAUGUGCUACACCUGAUCAUGCAACUGACGCAUGUCUUAGUUUGUAUGAUGAUACCAUGGCCCAUCUGAAUGCUGUGGGAAAUUUCCCUAGGCCACCACAAAGGCAAUACGACCCCUAUGCUAAUACCUACAACCCAGGGUGGAAGGACUAUCUUAACUUAAGUUAUGGGGCCAAUCCACGAAAUAACCAACCAUUCCAAAAUCGGUUUCCGCAACAGCCGUAAGGUUUAGGUAAUUUUCUAAAAACCAUGGUCAAUAAGUUAGCAACUAAUGUUCUUAAUUUUCAACAGCAAACUCUUAAUUUCCAAAAAGAAAUUAAGAAUUUCCAACAGAAAAUUGAGGCGUCCAUCAGAGAGUUGACCAUAUCGAUAGAGAAAUUAACCUAUCAAGGGAAGCUGUCGUCACAAACAGAACCAAACUCUAGACAAAAUGAAAAUGUAGUAAUGUUGCGAAGUGGAAAGGUACUGGAACCAAUUCCUGACAGGAAUCUUGGCCAAGAAAUCACCCGGAAAAACCUGAAAAAGACGAACAGGUCCGACCGAAGCCUCCAUUGCCUAAAAUUCAACCUCAAUUUCUAGAACAAUUCAACCAGUGUCAAAGAGGUAAAGAGGACAAGAAAAUCCUCGAAACAUUUAGGAAUGUCGAGAUCAACAUUUCGCUGUUGGACGCCAUCAAGCAAAUACCGCGGUAUUCUAAAUUUCUUAAAGAGCUUUGCACCAACAAGCGAAAAUUAACAGGUAAUGAAAGGGUGAAUGUUUGUGAGAAUGUAUUCGCAGUGUUACAGCGAAAAAUGCCGACAAAAUGCAAGGAUAGGAGUAUGUUUGCAAUACCAUAAAAAAUAGGUCAUCUGGGAAUUGAGAAGGCUAUGUUUGAUCUAGGGGCUUCUACAAAUGUAAUGCCAUAUUCUAUUUAUGAAUAACUUAACGCGAGUUUUUUAACAAAAACAGGUGUUAUCAUUCAAUUGGCGGACAUGUCUAUUGUGCAUCCAAAAAGAGUCCUUGAGGAUGUUCUGGUAAAAUUUAACAAGCUUAUUUUCCCUGCAGAUUUUUAUGUGAUCAAAAUGGAGGAGGCUAGCACUCAUGGAUCUUUAGAUCUCCUGCUGGGUCGAUCGUUCCUUAGUACAACUAGUACUAAAAUCGACGUUCGAAGUGGAACUCUCACGAUGGAGUUUGAUGGGGAGAUCGUAAAGUUUAAUGUCUACGAUGCCAUUAGCCAUCCAAGCGAAAUCUUGAGUGUAAAUCGUAUCGACAUAAUUGACUCUUUGGUGGAAGAGAAUUUUGAGUCAAUUUAUGGAGAUAAUUCUAAACUUGAUGAAUUUGAAUUUGUUAAUGACUUAUUAUCUCCAAAUACUAAACUUUUACCUUCUGUUAUACAGGCACUAGAUUUUGAGUUAGAACCCGCAAGAAAGGCAACGAAAUUAGACAUCCAAGAGUUAGAAGAAAUUCGUAAUGAUACCUACGAGAAUGCUCGUAUUUAUAAAGACAAGACAAAAUUGUUUCACGAUAAGAGAAUAGCUCAGAAGCAUUCUUCGGUAGGACAAAAGGUUUUACUUUAUAACUCUAUGUUAAAGUUAUUCCCAGGUAAGCUUCGAUCACGAUGGCAAUGACCUUUUAUUGUUACUGAAGUGUUCACACAUGGAGCGAUUGAAAUAGAGAGUGAAGAAUCAGAAAAGCGGUUCGUAGUCAAUGACCAGCGGCUGAAGCCAUUUUAUGAGAAUUUUCAAACCCAUAUGGUUGAGAAAAUCCAUUUGGAACCACCAUAGAACCAAUAACAGCGUCGAGCUAACGACGUUAAACAAGCGUUUGUUGGGAGGCAACCCAAUUUUUAUUCUUAUUUUUUAUUUUCAUUAUUUAUUUAUUAUUUUCUUUACUUUAUUUAUUAUUUUAUUUUAUUAUUUAUUACUUAUUACUUAUUUGGAUAUUAAUAAAUUUCUCUUCUUUUGCUUAGAUAAAACAAAGCGAAAAUAUGAAGAAAAUCGUUGAGCAACGCCUAGAGCGCAUUGAGGCCCAACUUGAAACCUUUGGCUAGCAACUGGCAGAGCUCAUUGCCAUCAUAUAUGAUCGACAGUAACAACACGGGGAGUUUUCUAAACUUUUCUACCUAUUUAUUUUUUCGUCCACAUUGAGGACAAUGUGCUUUAAGUAGGGAAAGGUACUCUUCGUUAUUACUAUCAUUUUCUGCUGUGAUUUUGGUUGUUGCUGUGAUUAUUUUUAGCUGGUGUUGCUGCUUGAGGCUUCAUUUUGUCCAUAUUUGUUUUUUUUAGAACCUCCUGCCUCUUUUCAUGCCCAAGAUUUUUACCAAGAAUUGCCUACUGUUUGACCUACAAUCAUGAUUCUUGUUUUCUGAAGAAAUUACGAAUUUUCAUAAUUGAUGCCAUCUCCACUGUUUUAUUCUUAUUAAGCUAAAAAUAAUUGUGAUUCAUAGAGUUAACUUUAUCUUGCUUUUCGUAAAAUUGAUCAAGUUUAAUACAAAGUGGACACUUAAAUGUCUGCAUGCUAAAAUAUGUUCAUGACUAUUAAGGUAAUUACUGAAACUUAUUUUUGACACUUGAUUUUUUUUCUCUAAAGUCCUCAAAAAAAAGUUAUUAUUAAAAUGUUGUUUAAUGUUUUCGUGGUUAUGAGUGUAGCUUAAAAGCGUGACUAACUGAGUAACCGGGGUAGGGUGCUUGGGUUGUCAUCCUAUUUCGCAUCAAAAGAUUGUGUGACAUGUUAGGUAAAACUCCGCUAAUCGGAAUUAAUUUUUAAGAACAUGUUGGGCUGAGUAAUCGGGGGAGGUGCUUGGUUGUCAUCUCUCUUCGCGUCAAAAGGUUCGAUGUGUUCUUAAGAAAAAAAUAUUAUAAAUUAGGAGUCUGCUGGGCAAAGUAACUGGGGUGGGGUGCUUGGCUGUCAUCUCUCUUUGCGUCAAAAGGAUCAGUAUAUUCCUAAAGCAUAAUAAUAAUAAAAAGAAAAAAAAAUAUAAUUUAGGGACUAAAUGAGGAAACAAAUAGGGUGUAUUGGUAGGUUUGGUAAUUUACCUAAUUUUCAUUAAAAAAUUCAAGUCGAUUCUAAUUUUUGUGUGUAUUAAUUGGAAAACUUUUUUUGUUUUACUUAAAGCAAGCUUAGGGUUCUCUUUAUUUUUCAUAUGCAUUUUUUACUAAUUUUUAUAAAACUUUGGAGUGGUAUUUCUUUUAUGGCAGAAUCUAACUUUCAUAGUAGAUAGGAACCAUACUUGAGGGCAAGCAUGGGCUAAGUAGGGGGAAUUUGAUAACACUCUAGAAUAACGUAUUUUUAUGUAUUAAUUAUGUAUUUAUUCUGAGUAUGAUCCUACUAAUUUGAGCUAUUUAUGAUCUUUUAUCUCAUAGGGACUAAAUUUGAGGCAAAAGCAAAAUUAAGGGACUAAAUUAGACUAUCUCCCCUAGCACUAUAAAUAGGGGGUGAAGUGACUCAAAAGAGAUCCCAUCUUUUUCUGUAAACACUCUCUCCCCAAAAGUCUAGGCUUUUGUUCUUCUCAUAUUUUCUUUCAAUAAAAUCUCUAUUUUUUUAUUUAUUUUCCUUUUCACCACAACCAUGAGCCACUAAACCCAUCUAGCCAAAAGUUGUCGAAAAUCCCCAAAAGGGUUCAUGAAGCUUAGAAUCCAUUUAUGAUUAUUGGGAAUGGUUUAAGAAAUUGUGUGCAAGCUUUAAUUCUAUUUUUUUUAUUUUUUUUCCAGGAACGCAGGUUUUCUUGGGCAAGAUUCUGCCUGGGAUUUCAUGGAACAAGAAAUUGUGCAAAUCCAGUCCCUGAGGAUUUACCCUACUUCCAUUUUACUAUUCUUUUUCAUUAUUUAUCAGGGAUAGGAUAUUUUUGGUGCUUUCAAUGACCGCAUCAUUAAGGGAUAAAAGGGAAAUAUGAGAUGAGUAUUCGCCAAAGGUAUGGUACGUUUGGUUUGUAUGUAUUCUAGUUAGACUUUAACUAAUCUGGUUAUAAACCAACUGUAUAGUUUAUCAUGAUAAGUCUAGUGAAGGGAACUUAUUUAUAUUUUUCCUCAAAAACUGUAGGCCAAUAAAAAGGCAAGUUCUGAUACGUAUAACACUUGUUAUAUUCCACUGAGCAAGAUGAGUUAUAGUUAUAUGUGAAAGUGUGUUCUGAAAGGGGUUCUUCUUCCUCUUCCUUAAGUGGAAAUUAUUGAUACAUUCCUUAAGUUUAGAUGUAUCUCUUUAUUGAUACCCUAGAAGCUAAGGUUACGUUAUGAUCAGUGACUACUCCAUUGAUAUGUAAGUAUUACUAUUCUGCAUGUUAAAUUCUGAAAGAGUAACUUUGUAAGAGGUGCAUAAACAGUAAGAUGUAAGUAUAAAGCUUUGCAUGGGAGUUGUCAGUGCUUGAAUUGACGAUAAAUUGUAUACGAAUGAGUCUUAAUGAUGUUCUUAUGUUUGGAAAGUAGUGAUUGUAACUUGUUCGAUAUUGAUAUCCGAAUUUGUAGUUUUGCACUACCAUUAGUGAGAAUCAGAUUAGUUUUAUGCUGACUCCUGCAUGUAUAUUGUUCAUAUCAAGAGAUACCUAUAGGAAAUUGAUUGAACUAUGAAUUUGAAACUAUGAAAAGUAUAGUGUGUGUAUAUGGGUAGUGAAUCUGAUAAUUUCAUGUAUGUGAUGAUUGGUGUAUGAAUACUGAAACGUUAAAGUAUGGUUGUAUAUAUAUAUGUCUAGAAUGUAUACAAUGAUAUGUAUGUUUUGUUGGGUGUAUGUUAGUGCAUUAAAAUGUUAGGCUUAGAGUGUGUCAAUCCAUGAAGAGUCUGUAAAGUGAGUCCGUGUCUAGUCACCGUGGUGGUAUCUGAUGAAAUUCGUCAUGACAGAAAACAUGAAUUCUAAUAUGAAACUCUGACGGAAAGUCUAUGGCCAUGGCACUCUCUGAAAAAGAACUAAGGAAUGGUGAUUACCCAAUGAGGUUCUUUGCACGUCCCAAGACGAUGAUGGGCAAACCUCACGUAUUGUGAGUUUAGGCAAAUCCAUAUCGUAAACACGAUAACUAAGAAUAGCCUUUGUGGCGAACUCUGAAAGAAAUGCCUUUGUGGCGAAUUCUGAAUGGAAUGCCUUGGUGAUGUACUCUAUAUGAUUGCCUAUGUGGCAUGUUCUGUUAGGCCUAUAUGGUGUAAAUUGUCAGGGAUGUCAGGUAAAAUCUGAAUCUGAAUGUCUAUCUCUAUUGUAAGGUAUGAGUAAAUUCUUUUAGUUUUGUCAUAAGUAAAGCUAAGGUGAAAUAUUGAUAUGUUCUGGGUUAUGAGGGACUAAGUCUUAAAGGUUUUUCAUGAAAAAGAGAUGUGUAUCUGUAUGUCCAGAAGGAUAUUCAUUAUUAUGAUAUGUAAUUAUAGAAAGUGUGGUAUUUUAUCUUCUUCUAAAAUUAUUUUGAAUCAAAGAUAAUGUUAUCUUGAAUUAUGGGAUUUUGAUAUAUCACGUCAUGAAAUUCGUCAAAGUGGUCUGUGCAAUGAUUUAUAAGUAAGGAUAUGUGUGGUACUAAAUCAAGAUAUGACUGAGUAUAAAUCGAUAGUAUUAUAUUCUACAUAAGUAUUCGCCAAGCAUAUAUGAAUAUCCGCACGUGAUAAAUGUCAGUGAAUAAUUGCUUGAAAUAAGAAUAUGGGUUAAGGCAUAGAUUGUUGGAAGUGUUUUCUAAGGGUAUAUUUUGUUAAAAAAGUAUUAUGGGACAAGAGAUUUAUGAAAUGAGUGGAAGGAUUGUCCAAUUAAUUAGAUAUGAAAGAUUAAGUAUAAUAAGGGUAUGAUAAUUGACAUAUACAAGAGUGAUAAGACCGUAUGGUAUCAGUCGAAGUAAAUGAUGCAGAGUAGUAGUUGACUCAUAGAAAUUCCUACAAGAUUGCAAAGCAUCCAUCAAGGUAUGGUUCAUGAGCUCACUAAGUACUCUUGUACUUACAAAAUUUGUUAUUUCUUUUCAGGUAAUUGAGAAAACACUUCGCCUGAAGGGGUAACGUCAGGAGUUCGCCAAGAUGGUGGCGAAGUGGGCUAUUAUGCAUAUUAGUGGAGUUGUGGCAUAGUCUAGGAAUACGCCCUUCUAGUCUGUGAUAAAUAAAUUUUCAUUUUGUAAUGAUAUAACUCGAGUCUGUUGUAAUUAAAUUUAUUUUAAACACAUCCCCUGUUUUAUUGUAAUAAGUUUUUGAUUAAAAUGCCACAAUACAUGUUUAAGAAAUAGGUAAUUGUAAAUUGUCAUUGUUAAUAUGUGAGUUUUGUGUGGUAACACCCAAACCCGAACUCGAUGAAUUGGGUUGGUAGAGGGCGUUACAAGUUUGGUAUUAGACCCCGAUUGAGUAGUUAAAUAAAAAAAAUCGUUAAUUCUAGUAUAUGGACUAAAUUAAAAAGGAUAACAAUUUUUUUUUGAAAAAAAAAGAGGAUAGCAAGUUAGGUAAUAAAUAAGAGGGACUUAUGUAGCAAUUUGGCUUGACUUUAAAACCAACUAAACCAAAAUUAAUUUAGUGGCGGUGGCCAACAUUUAAGUGAACCGUUAGAUUCCACUAAUUGUUUUCAUGAAUGAAUAUUAACCAUUGAUCUUUAAUUAUUAAAUUUUUUAAUUAAAUAAAAGUUAUAAUUGUAAGUUAGUGGACGAGAGACACAAUAGUUAGCUUCGUUAAUCUCAUCUCAUCUCUACUAGUUCUCUUAAGGAAAUAAAAGAAAACUUUCUCCUAAAACAUUUUCACCAAUGUUGUAAGCUUCCAAGGUUAGAUUGGUAAGUUUCUUUUUAAAUUCACGGUGAAUUAUUAGAUUUAAGUAGUUGUUACUCAAGACCCAAGUAUUUUUUUAAAGAAUUACUAAUAUUUAGUUAAGUUUUAUUGAUGGAAUUCAUGAUAGAUUAGUAAAAGAACAAAAGAACUUCAUAUGAAAUUGAGUUAUAAUAUUAGUAAGGUAAUGGGUGUUGUAGGAAUAAGCUUGAAUUUAAGCAUAAAGACUUUGAAAUCAUUGUUGAACAUUAGUAACCAAAUUGAAUAAAUUGAAAGCUGUUAGAAAAUAAUGUCAAGGAUUGGAAGUUAGAGGUACCAAGUGAAGAAAUAUAAAAUCGAUUUUCGAUUUGAUAAAGAGAACAAAGAAUUACAAGCAUUUCGGAUAUUAGGGCUUAUAGGGACAAAAAUGAAUAAAAUACAUUCAUGUCUAUGUUGUUAUGAUCUAUGUUUGAAUUGCAUGAUUGAUGAAUUUUUUAUAUUCGGAUUUAAUUUUUGUAGCUAAAUACGAUGUAAGACCUUUACAGGACAAAAGGAAAUCAAAAUCCGUUGACGAAUAAUCACUUCUGAUUUGUACUCUCAUAUUUCGAGUUCAUUAAAUAAUUGUGUGUGUUUAACUCGUUAAGUGGACGAGGAUAGUAAACUGUUGAUGUAGAUGUAUUUGAAAGGUAUGUAGACACCUUAUUAUGUUAUAUGUGAUCAUUGGUAUAUUGAUUGAAUAUGUAUAUGAUUGCUUAAUAAUAUAUAAUUAUUAAUAAUGAAAAUUUCCCUAUUAACGCUAUUGAAUAAAGUUGCGAGUAUAGUUGACAUGCCAUAAGAUCCGUUUUGAUAGGUGGGAGAUUCAGUGCUAUGUGUGUAUAUAAAUUGUGAUAGUUCUCUAAUUCAGUUGGGGUUGAGAACAUAACACCAGCUCAAAUUCUUUGAAGGUACGAGUGUGUAAUACUCGAUUUUGCCCCGGGACUAAAUAACAAAGGGGCCCAAAUAAGACAGUCCAAUUACAACAAAAUAGGCCCAAACCCAAACUACAGAGGCCCAAAAUUAACAGUGGCCCAAAACAAUUUCAAAAACCCCUACGGUUUCUAGGGAAAAUGCUCGCCCCGCAACCAAGCCCCCGCAUGAGCCGCAUCCCCGUUCGUACUUGCACAACAAGGAAAGAAACAAAGCAGUAUAUGGUAAGAAAAUCUUGAAAUCACGAAUCAAGCAGAUACCAGAGAAGAUUUCUUUUUCUUUUUCUUGUUUCAUGAUUGCUAUAAAAGAUAUCUCAAAAAUAUUGUAAAAAGGACGGAUUCGAAGUCAAUAAAAAACCGAUUAUUUUCACAACCAAAAAUAGAGAACUCAACACUAAGAGCAAUACAAUCGAUCUAAAAUCUUUAAAUCACGAAUCAAGCAGAAACCAGAGAAGAUUUCUUUUUCUUUUUCUUGUUUCAUGAUUGCUAUAAAAGCAAUCUCAAAAAUAUUGUAAAAAGGGCGGAUUCGAAAUCAAUAAAAAAACCGAUUAUUUUCACAACCAAAAAUAGAGAACUCAAUACUGAGAGCAAUACAAUCGAUCCAAAGGUUAACAUCUACAGUUUUUAUUUAUUUUUUAUUUACUCUUAUUAUUAUUAUUAUUAUUAUUUACAUACGAAUAAAUAAAGGGAAAGAAAGAAAUAACCUUUCUUUUGAUUCUGAAACGACGCUGAGACGGUCGAGGGAGCCACCCCCAAGGAUCGGUGGCCGAAAACCGAAAGGUUUUUCGAUUUCUUUGCAUUUUUUGUUGAUUUUUUGGAGACUUUGAACCCGGAUUUGGGUUUAGGAAGGUUGAGAGGAUCGAAUAGGAGUUUUUCUCCUUUUUCGGCCACCGCAGACGGCGGCGCCGUCGCUGUGGCCGACGAUCGACCGAUGCCUGGGGCCCUGGCCAGACGAGCUGGGGGGAGAGUUUUUUUCUGAGAGGUUUUCUUGGUUUUUUUUUAAAGAAGUGAAAAAUGAUUUUUUUUGAACUGAUUUUGGCUUAAAUAGCCUAUUGAAACGGCGUCGUUUCAUUAGGCCUCACCAGGCGCCAAAACGGCGUCGUUUUGGGGAGCCGACCCGAAAUCGACCCAACCCGGCCUAGGAUCCCCGUGUUUUUAUGCGGAGGGGUAAAUUGCGCUUUUAGCCCCUCCGCCUUUUAAUGUUCUUUUAAUUGAGUUUUAUUUUAUUUUUUAAAUUAGCCCCGUUACUUCAUUUUUUAUUUCAAUUUGAUCCUGUUUGAACGACGCCGUUUAGAGAAGAAGGGAGAAUUUCUUUUCCAGCCCCUUUACAUUAUUGGCGUGUUCAACAUGGUCCUUUAAUAUUCAUUUAUUCGCGGAUUUGCCCCCGAUUCCCAUUUCCAGUUCAAAUUAGUCUUUAUUUGUUGUUUUUUAGGAAUUAAUUAAUUUAAACAAUGCACUUAUUAUUUUUAUUUUUAUAACCUAUAUAUAAUUAUUAUUUUCAUAAUCUAUAUAUAUAUACAUGUACACAUCUAUUUUAUAACUUAUAUAUAUACAUAUAUCUAUUUUUUUUUCACAAGUACCUUAAUGUAUAUCUAUACAUAUAUUCUUUAUAUUUUAAAUAUUCCUAGUUUUACAUAGAUUUUUUUAUAUAUUGUAUAUACAUAUAUAUUUUACAAAUUUUAUAAUCCAUAUUCGUAUAUAUAUAAAUCCAUAUGUAUGUCUUUUAUUCUUUAUAAUUUCAAUAUAUAUAUUAUAUACACACCUUAUAUUCUUUAUAUUUUUUUUAAAUUUUGUUUAUUUCCUUCACUUGUUAUUUAUUUGUGUUUUCAUUUUUAUUUUAAAAGAAUGUUUUUUUUAUUUUGCUCAUUUAUUUGAUAUUUUGCAUGUCGUUAAUUUUUUUUAUUUAUAUUAAUUUCGUUUGUUUAUUGUUCAUAAUAUUUUAUACCAUUGUUGUAUUCAUUAUUGUUAUUUGUUAAAGCAACAUUUAUGCAUAGAUUUAAUGAAACAUUAUAUCGAUUUUCUUUUUUUACUCGAGUUCAUAAAAAAUAGAAAACUUCGAAAAUAAAGGCAAUACUCGUAUUUAGAAUUUUCGAAAAGAUUGAGCCCCAACGUAUUGGGUUCCAAUUUUAUUCAUCGAAUCUAAUUAUCGGGAAUGUUUUUAAUCAAACAAAAACUUAUUGUCGGGAAUUCGAUAUGUUGUGCCCUAAUGCAUUGGAUGUGACGUGUUAAUUUCUUAAGAUAAAAACCUUUUUUUCUAAAAAUUAAUAAAGGAAUAUUUAAUGUUUAGGAUUUUGAAAAAUUGUGCCCUAAUGUAUUGGGCUGCGAUUUCUUCAUAAAUUUUAAACAAUCGAAUAUUCUUUUAAAAUUUAUUACACGAGUCUUUUGGACAAACUCAUUUUUGAAGAAAUAAAAUAUUGUGCCCUAACGCAUUGGGUGUGACGUUUUUUCUCCAAAAUGAGAAAGUUUUGAUGAAUAACUUAAUUUAACAAAGGAUCGUAUUUUUCAACUCUCGACAUUAAGACACUAAUUAAUCAACUUGGUACCAAUUUUUGGGCAUUGCGGGGGUGCUAAUCCUUCCUCGUACGUAACUGACUCCCGAACCUAUUUUUUUCUAAAACUCGUAGAUCAAAGUCGUUUUUUAGGUAAUCCAAUCACACCUCAAUAGAAUAUUGGUGGUGACUCCAAUUUUCAUCGACUACUAAUAUUUUGUUUUUCAAAAUAAAAAAUAGUUUUGACAGCUUGGCGACUCCACUGGGGACAUUUAGUGAGUCAAGCCGCAAAAUUGCUUUUUUUUGUCUUAUUGUCAAAAAUUGAAAUUUGAUUUGAAAAAAAACUACGAUCCUCUCUUUGCACUUGUUUGUAUGAUUACUGUAAAUCAAGUUUUAUAUCUUGGAAUCAUAUUGCAUAAAGAUUGUUUAGUCUUACCCUUUUAAGUGGGAGUGAGAAGCUACUCCUUCGUGAGGUUUUCACCUCCGUGCAGGAUAGUGGAUCACUUCGGGAUGCAUCCGUACCUAUGUCUUCGUGAGAUUUUCAUCUCCAUGCAGCCAUAGGGAAAUGUAUUCCCUUGAACCGAACUCGGUCUGUAUGAGCCUAUAAUGGGUGAAGAUCGAGGAAUCUGCUGGUUCGGGUGCCUUGACUUUAGAGCCAAACCGCAUGUAGAAGACCUUAGGAAUCCAUCCCAGGUAGAGACCCUCCAAACCCCUAGUGGUCACCCGACUAGGUACUUUUGGUUUCCUUGUUUUCUUCUGUUUUGUACUAACCGGUUUUGUUUUGUUUUUAUUAUGAUUGCAUUGCAUUUGCAUCUUAGAAAAGAGAUGUUGAUUCAAGUUUGAUUACUAACUUAGAAAGCUUGUCAUUCAAUACGGAUUUCUUGAUAAAGUGUAAAAUAAUACGGUUGCCUGAAUAUAUUCUGAGAAACACAAGAAGGGUGAUGGAAGAGUUCGUGACUUCACUUCGUGGCCCGAGGAUUUAAGAUGAUUGUCUAAGAGUUUUCGAUGUUCCAAUUCUCUUAAAGAAGCUGAUGAGCAUUACGAGGAUAGGAAAAUCAUGGAUCGUGACCAGGAUCAAGAAAAAGAAAGCUAGCAGUGGCAUCUAUUGGUGAUUUGUGAGAUUUAUCUUAAACAUACGGAUGAAGGAAAAGAUCGAUAUUGUCUCUUGGAAUAUAAGGGCGAGGCCGUACAUGCAUCUAUUUUAUGUAAAGAAAUUUACCUUCUAGUAAAGUUUUCUAAAUGUAAUUGAAUCAGAAUCAACGUCUCUUUAGGCAUUCAUUUCAUGCAUCUGCAUUACAUGACAUUAUAUGCAUUAAAAUCCAUUGAAAGAGUCUAAUUGAGUAAAUUUAUUUCAGCUAAUCUGGAAAACCAACCAACUAAACACCCUUACGGUACUCGUCGCAAAACUAAAGAAAUGGAUCAAAGAUUAGAGAAACUAGAGCAAAUGCAAGAAGAAAUGCAAGAACAGCUAUAGAUGCAAAUGAAUGAGCAGUUGGAAAAAAUUCAACAAGAUAUGACAAAAAGGAUGCUGGAGUCUCAAAAGGAUAUGAUGGUUAAAUUGACGCAAUUACUGACUAGUGGUGUAAAUAAAGGGAAGGGCCCUAUGGUUAAUGAUGAAGAAGGAGACAAUGAUGGUCCUCUAUAUCCUCUAGGUUUUACUCCUCCGCAUGUGCAGACUCAAGCUGAGGUGUACCCGCGCAAAUCCUCAGUCACAAUUCGGCCUCAACAGUUUCAAGCAAAUGCCUCAAUGCCAAUGCACUUUCAGACUGGAUCAGGCUCUAACCCUGGAGAUAACCCUAUUUACCCUGUUAUCCCCGAUUUCAACGAAAUGGCUGAAAAAGAGAAGGCAAAUGUGUAACUAUCAAAACAAUGGGAGGAUAGGUGUAAAUGGUUGAAGGAAAAAUUCAAAGCCCUGGAAAGCGCCGAUAGUCACCAUGGAAUCGACGCUAAAGAUCUGAGAUUGGUUCCAGACUUAGUACUCCCUCACAAGUUCAAAAUGCCUGAAUUUGAUAAAUAUAAUGGGACCAGUUGCCCUGAAGCCCAUAUCACCAUGUUCUGUAGGAGGAUGACUGGGUAUAUUAACAAUGAUCAGCUAUUAAUACAUUGUCUUCAGGAUAGCCUCACUAGGGCAGUAUCUAAAUGGUAUAAUCAAUUGAGCUGAACCAAAAUUAGUUAUUGGAGGGAUUUGGCACAGGCUUUUAUGAGGCAGUAUAGUCAUAUAUCAGAAAUGACUCCUGAUAGAAUCACUUUGCAAAAUUUGGAAAAGAAAUCGAAUGAAAACUUUAGAUAGCAUGCACAGAAGUGGAGAGAGGUUGCAGUCCAAGUUCAGCCGCCACUCCUAGAGAAAGAAAUGACGAUGAUUUUCAUCAACACACUGAAAGCUCCGUUCAUCACGCAUAUGUUGGGAAGUGCUUCAAAGAGUUUCUUAGAUAUAAUCAUGAAUGGCGAAAUGAUUGAAAAUGUCAUCAGAAGUGGAAGAAUAGAUGGCGGAGAGAGUAACAAAAAGUCAGUCUCAAGGAGAAAAGAAAAUGAGAUGAAUAACAUAGGUUACUCAAGAUCAGUUACUGUAAGUCAUCCAGGUAAAGGGGUUGCUAGUCAACAAGGUUCAUUGAGACAAGGAUCUGGAGUGAAACCAGGUACUGAGAAGCUCCAGUUCACACCAAUUCUGAUGUCUUAUAAGGAGCUAUAUCAACGCUUGUUCGAUGCGCACAUUGUUGCCCCUUCCUACUUAAAACCUCUACAACCUCCGUAUCCCAAGUGGUAUGAUGCAAACGCACAAUGUGAUUACCAUGCGGGAAUUACGGGGCACUCAAUAGAGAAUUACAUUACCUUCAAAAAGCUAGUUGAAAAAUUCAUCAACAUGGGUAUUGUCAAGUUGGAUGACUCAUCUAAUACAGGAAGGCCGCUACCAAAUCAUGAUUGAUAAUGGGGUGAAUGCAAUAUAUGAAAAGGUUUUAGGAAGUGUUCACAUCAAUGACAUAUAUGAAGACACUAAUGAAAAUGGACCUUGUUAGAUAUUCCCUCUUAUAAACAUGGGAGUGUUCUAAAUAACUGGACUGCGGAAGAAAUCCCUGUAGUUUUUAGAGCUUAUUUUGAGUAAUGUUCAAAACAUAUUUGUUAUUUUUAGCCUAAAAAUGAUAGAAAUUCCUUUGUGAAAUAUGCUCAUGUCUGAACGUCAUUAUUCUAAUGAAAUACAUCUUUGCAUUCAUUUUUGAGCCAAUAUUCUUUCAUUCUUUUCGAAUAAUUAUUCUUUCAUUCUUUUGGAUUUUCUUCCACAUCAUUAUUUAAUUCAUAAUCAUAUUGUACAAAUAAUUAUUCAUAAAUUCUUUGGUACCUACUAUGGGUCCCCAUAUAUCAAUGACAUGAAUGACGCUGCUACAGGCUCAGAAUUUCUUUUUGAGCGAGGCAUGUGUUUAGAGGGAUUUCAUGACUUUGAAAAUGACAUAGAUUAUAGCUUAUCUCCUGACUUGUUGAGGAUGGUAGAGCAAGAAGAGAAACAAAUUUACCUCCUGAGGAGACAAUGGAGAUUGUGACUUUGAGGGAACAUGCAUAACUAAAGAAACAAAGUAAGACGUUGCUGAGUUACUUUAAGAAUUCAAAGAUGUCUUCGUAUGGUCAUACCAGGAUAUGCCUAGGUUAAGCACUGUCAUUACGAUCUGAACAACAGCUCGAUAUCAGAAAUUUGCAGUAUGUUCAAGAUUAAUAUCAUGAAUGGUGCAAAGAAAACUCUACCGGGGCAAUACCUCUCUCUUUAGUUUAUCACGGUUGAAAUUCUUUUUCUCCAGUCUUGGCUGAGUAAGUUGGAAGAAGCAGAACGGAUCCAAUCGUGAUGUGAUCAGUUGAACUUGAUAGAAGGAAAAAGGCUAAAAGCUAUUCAUCAUGGUCUGAUGUACCAGAAAUGAAUGAUGCGAGCCUAUAACAAAAGGUUCAUCCAAGAGAAUUCCACGAGGGUGACCUAAUGUUGAAGAUCCUCCCUCUACAAAAAAUAUUUUGGAGGGAACCGGAUGAUAAACUAGGAAGAACCUUAUGUUGUAGAGAAGUCUUUUCUAAAGGAGCUCUAAUUUUGAGCAAGAUGGAUGAUAAAAACCUGCAAAGUCUUGCAUAUUACUCUGAAAGUUUCUAAAUAAUACAGUAACCUGAAACAGGACUAUUGUUUAGAACACACCAAGUUUAAAAGUUGAAAUGGCUAAGAAGGAAAAAGUCUAAAUUAAGACCGUUCUUUCGAAUUUUGUUGAACGAGAUAACAAGAUAUCUUGUUGGUGAACAAACAAGAAAUGAUCGCCAAGUGAUAGGAAGAAGUUCCUUCUGAAAAGAAAAUUCUUCAUUUGUGCAUAAGAAUCUAGUAUGACACCUUGGGAAUGGUGUAAAAGACCAAAGAGUUUCACGUCCUGUAAUUACAGUAGGGGCAAUUUGAUUAAGUGUUACUUUGGAGAUGCCAGCCGAGCAAAAAAGCGUUGUAGCACGUCAGUGAUAAAACCUUAAUAAACUUUGAGUAACGAUAACUUGAGGGAUCAUUCUCGAAAAACUGACAUUCUGCAAAUGUCAUUCAUACACGUCUAGUUAGGAGCAUUUGAUUCAUUCUAAUCAUGACAUCCUAAUCACUAGGCAUAAUUAGGUUCAUGAAUUGAAUUAUACAGGUCAUGUUCCCCAGUGAACAAACCGGUGAAACUCCAGCCUUGUCUCCCUGAGCAGCAGUAGAGUAGGUUGAAAAUAGCAGAUCUUGCCUUCCUGUACUGGCAGUGAAGCAGAUCGAAGACAUCAGUUUUAUCCCUUGACAUUACAAUGGAAAAGAUUGAAGCUGCAAUGACGAAUCUUAUUUCCCUUGCGUUGUAGCGGAGUAGAUUGAACCCACGACAGCGAAUCUUAUCUCCCUAGCGUUAAGGCUUGGAUUAGCUGAAGUGGGGCAGAUUGAAGAUGGCGAAUCUUAUCUCCCUGAAGUUGUAGUGGAGCAGAUUAAAGCCAAUAAACCUAUCUCCCUAAAGUUACAGUGGAGCAGAUUAAAAUGAUAGAUCUUAUCUCUCUGAAGUUGCAGAGAGCAUAUCGCAUCUAGUCUUAUCUUCCUAAAGUUGCAGUGGAGCAGACUGAGUAAGCAAGUCUUAUCCUCCUGAAGUUGCAGUGAGGCAGACUAAAGAUGGCAAAUCUUAUCUCCCUGAAGUUGCAGUGGAGCAAAUUAAAACCAAUAAUCCUAUCUCUCUGAAGUUGCAGUGGAGCGGAUUAAAGUGAUAGAUCUUAUCUCUCUGAAGUUGCAGAGAGCAGAUCGCAUCUAGUCUUAUCUCCCUGAAGUUGCAAUGGAGCAGACUCAAGAAAGCAAGUCUUAUCCCCCUGAAAUUGCAGUGGGGCAGACUGAAUAAGCAAAUCCUAUCUCCCUAAAGUUGUAGUGGAGUGGAUUAGAACGAUGGAUCUUAUCUCUCUAAAGUUGUAGUAAAGCAGAUCAUAUCAAAUCUUAUCCCCCUGAAGUUACAGUGGAGCAGCUUAAAGCCAAUAAUCAUAUCUCCCUGAAGUUGCAAUAGAGCAGAUUAAAGUGAUAGAUCUUAUCUCUCUGAAGUUACAGAGAUCAGAUCGCAUCUAAUCUUAUCUCCUUGAAGUUGCAGUGGAGCAGACUCAAGAAAGCAAGUCUUAUCCCCCUGAAAUUGCAGUGGGCCAGACUGAAUAAGCAAAUCCUAUCUCCCUAAAGUUGUAGUGGAGUGGAUUAGAAUGAUGAAUCUUAUCUCUCUGAAGUUGCAGUAGAGCAGAUCAUAUCAAAUCUUAUCUCCCUGAAAUUGCAGUAGAGUAGAAAACCAAUCCAAUCUCCUUGAAGUUAUAAUGGAGUGGACUGGAGCAUCAAAUCCUAUACCUCUUAAGAUGUAGUAGGAAGAAAUGUGACUAUUUGAAGAAGAAGAGUACCAAGGUCUAGCACGACCGGGAAAAAUUGGGCAUUUUUAAAGUCUUUGCUCCGUUCUCGUUACUCGACAACAAGCAAAGAGGGGUAGCUGUAAUACCCGAUUUUGCCCAGGGUCUAAAUAACAAAGGGACCCAAAUAAAACAAUCCAAUUACAACAAAAUAGGCCCAAACCCAAACUACAGAGGCCCAAAAUUAACAGUGGCCCAAAACAAUUUCAGAAACCCUUAGGGUUUCUAGGGCAAACGCUCGCGCCGCAGCCAAGCCCCCGCAUGAGCCGCAUCCCUGUUCAUACCUGCACAGCAAGGAAAGAAACAAAGCAGUAUAUGGCAAGAAAAUCUUCAAAUCACGAAUCAAGCAGAUACCAGAGAAGAUUUCUUCUUUUUCUUUUUCUUGUUUCAUGAUUGCUAUAAAAGCAAUCUCAAAAAUAUUGUAAAAAGGACGGAUUCGAAAUCAAUAAAAAAUCGAUUAUUUUCACAACCAAAAACAAAGAACUCAAUACUGAGAGCAAUACAAUCGAUCCAAAUGUUAACAUCUACAGUUUUUAUUUAUUUUUAAUUUACUCUUAUUAUUAUUAUUAUUAUUAUUAUUAUUAUUUUUACAUACGAAUAAAUAAAGGGAAAGAAAGAAAUAACCUUUCUUUUGAUUCUGAAACGACGCUGAAACGGUCGAGGGAGCCACCCCCGAGGAUCGGUGGCUGAAAACUAAAAGAUUUCUCAAUUUUUUUGCAUUUUUUGUUGAUUUUUUGGAGACUUUGAACCCAGAUUUGGGUUUAGGAAGGUUGAGAGGAUCGAAUAGGAGUUUUUCUCCCUUUUUGGCCACCGCAGACAGCGGCGCAGUCGCUGGAGACCGACGGCCGACGCAGUGGCCGACGAUCGACCGAUGCCUAGGGCCCUGACCGGACGAACUGGGGAGGAGAGUUUUUUUUUGAGAGGUUUUCUUGGUUUUUUUUUAAAGAAGUGAAAAAAUAAAAUUUUUUUGAACUGAUUUUGGCUUAAAUAGCCUAUUGAAACGGCGUUGUUUCAUUAGGCCUCCCCAGGCGCCAAAACGGCGUCGUUUUGGGGAGGCCGACCCGAAAUCAACCCAACUCGGCCUAGGAUCCGCGUGUUUUUAUGCGGAGGGGUAAAUUGCACUUUUAGCCCCUCUGCCUUUUAAUGUUCUUUCAAUUGAGUUUUAUUUUAUUUUUUAAAUUAGCCCCGUUACUUCAUUUUUUAUUUCAAUUUGAUCCUGUUUGAACGACAUCGUUUAGAGAAGAAGGGAGAAUUUCUUUUCCAGCCCCUUUACAUUAUUGACGUGUUCAACAUGGUCCUUUAAUAUUCAUUUAUUCGCGGAUUUGCCCCCGAUUCCCAUUUCCAGUUCAAAUUAGUCUUUAUUUGUUGUUUUUUAGGAAUUAAUUAAUUUAAACAAUGCACUUAUUAUUUUUAUUUUUAUAACCUAUAUAUAAUUAUUAUUUUCAUAAUCUAUAUAUAUACAUGUACACAUCUAUUUUAUAACUUAUAUAUAUACAUAUAUCUAUUUUUUUUUCACAAGUACCUUAAUGUAUAUCUAUACAUAUAUUCUUUAUAUUUUAAAUAUUCCUAGUUUUACAUAGAUUUUUUUAUAUAUUGUAUAUACAUAUAUAUUUUACAAAUUUUAUAAUCCAUAUUCGUAUAUAUAUAAAUCCAUAUGUAUGUCUUUUAUUCUUUAUAAUUUUAAUAUAUAUAUUAUAUACACACCUUAUAUUCUUUAUAUUUUUUUAAAAUUUUGUUUAUUUCCUUCACUCGUUAUUUAUUUGUAUUUUCAUUUAUAUUUUAAAAUAAUAUUUUUUUAUUUUGCUCAUUUAUUUGAUAUUUUGCAUGUCGUUAAUUUUUUUUAUUUAUAUUUAUUUCGUUUGUUUAUUGUUCAUAAUAUUUUAUACCAUUGUUGUAUUCAUUAUUGUUAUUUGUUAAAGCAGCAUUUAUGCAUAGAUUUAAUGAAACAUUAUAUCGAUUUUCUUUUUUUACUCGAGUUCAUAAAAAAUAGAAAACUUCGAAAAUAAAGGCAAUACUCGUAUUUAGAAUUUUCGAAAAGAUUGAACCCUAACGUAUUGGAUUUCAAUUUUCUUCGUCGAAUCUAAUUAUCGGGAAUGUUUUUAAUCAAACAAAAACUUAUUGUCGGGAAUUCGAUAUGUUGUGUCCUAAUGCAUUAGAUGUGACGUGUUAAUUUCUUAAGAUAAAAACCUUUUUUUCUAAAAAUUAAUAAAGGAAUAUUCAAUGUUUAGGAUUUUGAGAAAUUGUGCCCUAAUGUAUUGGGCUGCGAUUUCUUCAUAAAUUUUAAACAAUCGAAUAUUCUUUUAAAAUUUAUUACACGAGUCUUUUGGACAAACUCAUUUUUGAAGAAAUAAAAUAUCGUGCCCUAACGCAUUGGGUGUGACGUUUUUUCUUCGAAAUGAGAAAGUUUUGAUGAAUAACUUAAUUUAACUAAGGAUCGUAUUUUUCAACUCUCGACAUUAAGACACUAAUUAAUCAACUUGGUACCAAUUUUUGGGCGUUGCAAGGGUGCUAAUCCUUCCUCGUACGUAACUGACUCCCGAACCUAUUUUUUUCUAAAACUCGUAGAUCAAAGUCAUUUUUUAGGUGAUCCAAUCACACCUCAAUAAAAGAUUGGUGGUGACUCCAAUUUUCAUCGACUAAUAAUUUUUUGUUUUUCAAAAUAAAAACUGGUUUUGACAGAGUGUAUUCUGAUGUGAUUGGUGGGAUCGGUGCAUUUAUGCCCGACCAGCACUUCAGUGCGUAUAUUGGUGUGAUAGUGGAUUGAUCUGAGUAUCUGUCCUUAAGCCCGAUUUUGUUAAUAGGGAUUAAAAUGUAAAAAUUAUAUGUUGAAUGCUUAUAUUAUUGAAAUGUGAUAAUGAUCUUUAUAUGAUAUAUGACAUUGAUAUGGUAUAAUAUAUGCAAAUACCCUGAGGAUGCAUUGAAACUAUGUGAUUUGAAAACAAGUAAAAAGUUGAUAUAAACAUGAUCGAAUGUUAAAUGGUUAUGAAUCUUUUAAGGGUCUAAUGAUUCUCAGGUGUAUACGUAUUAAUGAUGAUAAUAUUGAGAUAGUUAUUGAUUAUCAUAUUUAAUCUUGUUAUUUAGUAUGUUUAUUUGAUUCUAUUAUGUUUAUAUUUGAAUUUGAAUUAUGUUAGCACCACUAAGUAUGCAUUACUUAGCAUACAGUUUUGUUCAUACGGUUUUGUUUGUUUCCGUGCAUAGGUCUUGGACGAGAGUGAUAGUAGAUUAGAAGUCAUAAAGCAUCCAACUCAGCAGCUUUACUCGAAAAUCAUCUUGUGCCUAUUUUGUAUGUAUAUAUAUGUUUUGGUUAAAUGGCAUGUACUUAGGUUGGUUUGAGCAUGUUGCUUACGUUAAUGUUUUAGUACUUUUGGUAUCAUGACCUACAAUGUUUUGAAUGGUGAGUUUCAUCUUUCGAUUUAAAGAUAAUUAUGCAUGUUUAUAAGUAUUCGAUUGCAUAAUUAAUUUGAUUAUACAUUGAUGAAAUGGAUGUAAGGAUUUGUUAGUGAUUAGAUGUGUUUCUAUAUGUUGGAUUGAUGAUUUUGCAUUGGUGUAACAUUUAGGUAUUUUUUAGGUACAAUUUGGUAUGGCUUAGAUGCUUAAAAAUGUGCAUUUAGGGUCAUUUUACCAUUUAGUCUCGAGACAGUAUGAACAUCUCUCGAAACCAUUAGAACAAAAUUUACCAUUUGGUGCUUAAGGUCUUGAAACUUACGAAGCAGAUCUCAAGACAAUUCCACUUAGGUCUCAUGACAAGUGGCCUUUGUCUCAAGACAAGGGCACAUCGAAGCUAAAAUAGUUUUGUCCUAUUCCAGGUCUGGAGAUAAUUUUUGUCUCGAAAGAACCAAACAUCGAAGCUAAAAUAAGAAAACAAGAGAGGUUUCUCUCGAGAUUAGUCUCGAGACUUGAAAGGUUUUAUCUCAAGACAUAGACCCUAUGGUCUCUGACCGCCUCCGGGCGUACUAACGUCCGGAGUGUAAAUACUACAAUUAAAUAUAUGAAAUUGAGGCAGUGUCCACAAGUAUACAGGUCAGGUUGUAAUAUACUUUACAACAAAAUUGGUAAGUACUCCGAGGAUCGUAUCCAAGAAAGGUGAGUACUAAAUUAAUAUUAAUCUAAACAUAAAUAAAAAUAAUUAUUACUUUAGAUAAAUUAUAUUACGAUAAAACAUAAAGUGGAAAAUAGUUUUGGGUUUUAUACUAAAAUAAAUAAUCAUGCAAAAUAAAGUGAACACAGAAAACUAAGAUGUAAUUCAACCAAAUCUAAGCAUGGGUGAUUAGUUCGCUUCGGUGGUAAUAAUUAAUUCCUAUUUUAGGUCUCUACUCAAUCAACUAGUCAUUACCCUAGAAGAAUCUCUUGAUCUCCUACUAAGGUAACAAGUCGGGAAGAACUACUUAUCUCUUGACCUCACAGUCCAAACUAGAUGGGGAUAAGGGUUCACAGAUAAGCAAUAUCAAUUUUGGGUUAAUUUCCACCUAAAUGACUUCUUAAGGUUGUCAGGCCUAGUGUUUAAGUUUUUCCUAUCCCAAAUAGUUGAUCCGCUAAGAAAACCCUACAUAGAACUUAAUUAAUCACACUUCCACUCGCUAAUCCCCUAUAAGAGGAUUAGUUCCUCAUGGAUUUCAUAAACAAUGUAAAGUUGAUAAAAUAAAUAAGCAUUAUGAACGAAUUAAGAAGAAAAGUUUAAGAAGAAAUUAUGAUUGUAUUGAAUAUUUGAAGUGCAGAUUCUAUAGAGUUUGUGUUGAAUCUACAAAUCAGCUCUUCUGAUUAACACGAAUGAAAAUAACUGGAAAUAAAUAGUAAGUCUAAAAAGAACUAGAAACUGAAAACUAAACUAAAAAAAAAAUUCUAAGUUACAAAAGCGGUCCUUUCUCAAGUGUCUUAUAAGUCUAUUUAUAGUGUUAGGGUUGGUCGUCGUCCUUAGACCUAGAUCAAUUGAUGUUUUUACGUUAAUUUCCAUUGUGCAAACCAAAACGCCCUCAGCUAGUAAUUUCUUCCCUUGUAGGGCCAGUGUCAUGACAUCUAGUACCUGGGUCGCGACAUUGAAUGCAGUUUGCUUGGCUCAAGUUUAGAUUCAGGGGUAUGUCGCGACACCAAAGGCAGUUUUGGAAUUUUGGCGCUCUAUUCACGAUGUUGUGACAUUGAACUUCCGUUUAGCAACAUGGCAACUAGCCUCGAGCUCUCAUACCUUUGGAUGGUGUCUUGCACACUCACUAAGUACGCUAAACCCUCCGUCUCGAGACAUGAAGAUUACUGGCUCGAGACACUAUGUUGAAAUUUGAUAAAAAAAGUUGGACUCGAAUCCCAACCACGUUAUAACCUCCAUACAUCUUCUGAAUACAUAGCAUGGGAUUAAUGUUCAUGCAUUGAAUUAAUUUGUGUGUAUACACUGAUAAAUUAUUUAAUUGAAUGUCAUGUUGCUUGUCAUUCGUGAUUGAGUCAGAUUGAGUUGCUUUGACAACGUAAUGUGAUGCCACACAUUUGGAUUUGACGACGGGGCUGGGUGUGGGGUGUCACACAAUGUGUAUGUCUUUCAUUGGGUACUUUGCAUUUCUUUCAUAUUUGCUUGCUCGUUUCGCCUCCAUUUGUGUUUGAUCAUGCUUUUCAAGCUCGAAUUAACCUCAAUAAAAGUCAUAAACUCAUUUUAAAAUCAUCCAAUGCUAAAAAAAAGAAGGUAAAAACUAGUAAAAAUGCAUAAAAGUAAAUACAAUCAACUCUCUCAAUAAUAGUAACCCUCUAUAAUAACAUUUUGUUAUAACAACAAUAUUUAUUCUAGAACCAAAGUUAUUAUAUUUUAUUUUUACAUUAUAUAACCGCUUUCAUAGUAAUAGCCAUAAAGUAUGAAAUACAUUAUUUAUUAAAUUAAUUAUUUAUAAUAGUUUUUUUCUUAAAUUUUAGUAAAAUUAAUUUUAAUCUUAAGUGAAUUAAAAUUAAAAUAUUUAUUAAUCGUAUUUUAUUAAAUAAAAAUAAUAAAUAAUGAAUAAAAUUAAAUUUAUAAAUUUUAUUAAAUUACAGUCUAAGUUUUAUUAAUUUGAAAUUUUAAAAGUUUCAGAUAUGAUGUAAAGGUUAAAAGUGCUAUAGGUGUAUCAUACGUUUUUACAAGCUUAUAAUAACCACUUCUUUAGAACAUUAAAAAUUUUGACAAAUAAAUGAAAUGUUAUAUAGAAGAUUAUCUGCAUGAUGCAAAAUUAGGUAAAUGUACUAUACUUCACUCCGAAAUCAGAAAUUUACUAAAAUCAAAGUGAAAAGAGCAAUUACAUCUUGGAUUAUUCACUGCAAUGCAUUGUGGUAUUUGCGAAGUUAUUAUCAUCUUUACUGGUAUAAGUUAAUUGAGUACCAAACACCCACUAGCAUACUGCUGAAAUUUACAGUUCCUAAUGAAAUCUGUCAAUGGUGAAUUAUGGUGAGGCUCAAUAAGCAUCUCAUACUCUUUCCACCAUUGCAUAAAACUGCUACCUUUCAAGAAAAUUUCAGAAGAAACUGCAUAUUUCUUGAUUUGUUCCAUAACAUAAACCUCAAAUUCCAUCAGUUUCUGCCUCAAACACACCCUCUCUGAGAUCAUACCAACAUCAGCUGUCUUCAAUGAUUUGCACCAUAGCCGGGCUUCUUCGACAUGAGCCCAAAAGCAAGAAUCAUCUGUUAGAAUAACAUCCACAUUUUGUUUCUUGGUAUCGAUCUGAAAUCUGCUUUGUUUCUCGUCUUCUUCAAGCCAUUGCUCUAACUUGAUAUAAUGAUGUGAUCUGCCAUUAGUCACAUAGUUGCUUCCAUCAUCUCUGUAGUAGUCAGCUAUGUCUAGUGGCUCGACCAUUCUCCGAUAGGUCGUACCAGCAUACAACCACCGUGAUCGGAGGUAAACCAGUUGUUUCUGAGGUUUCCUCUCGUUUUGUGCAACGACUUCCUUCCAGUAGUUUGUGAGGAACUUCUUGUGCUUGAUGACAUCGCGAUCCCGCCGACUGAGCUGCUUCUUGUAACAAUCAUAGUAACCUGUUUCAUUAGCCUUAGCAACCUUCUUAUACCAUUCUAGUUCAGCCAUUUUUAUUUUUAUGACAUUUAAUUUCUUUGCAGGGUCAAAUGCUUUUCCCUUGUUGAACAUACAUAUCUCUUCCAAUUCCUCCAGUUUCUUGAUCAACAGCUACUCGAAUUCAAUGCAAGUUCAGAUCAUAGACAGUAUGUUACUCGGACUGGCGUAUACGUAAUAUAUAAAGAUAUGCAUGAAGAUCGAAACAAGUUUGAAUCUACCUGUUCAUUUCUGAUUCUAAUUGCUUCUGUUUGCAAAGUUGUUCCAGCUCGAAGUGAAUUCAGAAUUGGUUCAUUAACCUGUGAGAUACCUUUCCGGACUAUCAUCGACUCGAGUUGUUCAAUAAUCCUGCUGUAAACAUUAACUGUCCAUUCUUCAUUACCAGCAUCUUCCGUUUCUACUGCCAUUAGUAGCUCAGAGACAGCUUCAGGGUUCUCAGACCAAGUACAUCCAUCUUCACAACAUAAAAGAAAGGUACCAAAAGGCUUAUAAUCAUCAGAUUUUGAAUCUAAAUCCAUGGAGUUAAGAUCAUGGGGAGCAAUGAAAAGUCUUGGAAUGGAAUCUUUGCUUGUUGCAGCAACAUGGAGGAAACAAGAAUUCCAUGCAGGACGUUGUGAAAUGGCUUGUUGAAACCCUUUAUCACCGACUAGCGGUGAGCCGAACGUGAGACAAAGGGGUCGUUUAGCCAACGAUAUAUCGAGGCUUUCAAGCAGCCAUAAGGUGAAGAGUGAAGCAACUGAUCCUCCUAAAGAAUGUCCGGUUACAAUUAAGCUAUUGGAAUUCCUUCCACACUGCAUCAAUUAGAGGUAGUAACUUGGAAAUAAUUAAAGCCUAAAAUAGAUGGCAAAACUUUGAUUUAUGAUCAUGUAGUUCCUCUACAACAGAUUAAUAUUCACAGUCAACCAUACCAUAUCUAUGGUCAGGUUGUCAAAUGCAAGACUUAUAAAAUUGAACUUAUAACCAGUAAAAGUACCAUAAAGAACCUCGUAUUAGGGGUCAGAUUGCAUUUUGGUCCCUCUAUUAAAAAAAUGAGCGAAUUAGUCCAUAUACAUUAGAUCAAACCGUAAAUAGUAAUUCUAUUAAAAAUUUCAUCUAUUUUUACUGUUAAAAUUUGGUCCAGCAGCAAUGUCAGUUUUUAACAGUAAAUGGAUGAAGUAUUUAACAAAAAUGACUGGUCUGUUUUUGUAUCUAAGUAUAGGAAUUAAUUUACCCAUGUUUGAGUAAAAAGAGAGAAAAUGCAAUCUAACAUUUCCAUAAUAUUUUUGCAACUUAUAACAUACUAGCUAGAUUGACUCUUAGAAUUUUCUUGAAGCACAUGGAUACGGAGAUAUGGCCUUUAAGCGGAAAAUUUAGAAAAAUAUAACCAAUUUAAAAAGGACUAUAUAGAGCAAGAAUUAAGGAAUUAGAAAGACACUAACCUCAGCUUUCAAUUGCAAGAGCUCAUGAAAGUGAUCAGCAAAGAGAGCAAUUGCAGCUUUAUGAAUAGAGAAAGAGUUGCCAUUGUUGCAGAGGAAUUCAAAGACUGGAAAACUCUCCUUAAAAGCUGUAGAAGAAACCAGUUGUUUUGAAUCUUGAAGAUGAGAUUUGGUACAAAUAGGAGACGUGGUGAAAACAAGGAUGUUAAUAUUAGCUUGUUGAUGAGCUUUCCAUUUUAUUGAUAACCCCAAAUUUUGGAGCUCAUCUGGAUUGAAUCCACCAUAACAGUCUAAGAUUUUAGCCCAUGAAAGUUUGAGCAACCCAGAGCUGACCACGAAAUUAGCAACCUCUAAUCCACUGCAGAAUCUGUAGUUUCAGAACACAAAAUAAAGUUAAACAAUCCAUCAAAAACACGAGGGAAAAAAAGGAAUGAAAAUUUACUAACAAUUGGUUCAUCUGGCUGGCCAUUGACUUGAUCCUUGGUUUGUAUAAUGGGAAGCGAGACCUUUAUUUGAGUGAGUAAAUAAAAUAAUCAUAUUAUAUUAACUAAAGUCUAUGGGUCUUGUCCUUUUGGGGGUUUUGGUGGUCAAAGUUGAGCAGCUUUCUGGAUGUUAAGUCGGGGAAAAUGGCAAUGUCCCCAUCAAUGAAAAUGCUACGAAAUGAGUGUUUUUCCAUUCUAAUUUCUUUUGAGGGUCGUAGUUUUGAUCCCAACACUUUUUCCUAUAUGCACAAAUAAGUUUCAGUUUGAUGUGCUCUAUGGUCUUCCAGUUCCAGUUUAGAAUACAAAAUUGGCAUCUAUUUUUAUUAUUAAAAAUUACUUUUUGUCCAACAAAAUACAACUCAACUAAAUCUUUUUAAUAUUUUUUUCACGUUUCCCCAUAUGAGCACUUUCACGCGGAAAUAACUGUUUAAUGAUACAAAUUCAAAUUUCAUAAUUUAUAAUUAUAAUUAAUGUACUUUUUACUGGUUCCACUAUUACCUGUUCUAACAUACUAAACGGAUAUUGGUUCGAAAGUCUUUAAUUUUAUGCUCAAUAUCAAAUUAUAUUUUGUCAUUUUACUCGAAAAGAUUAAUGUUAAAAACUUCAUCAAUUUGUACCAUUAAAAACUUACAUGACUAAUUAAAUACCAAAACAAUACCACCUGACACAUAAAAGACUAAUUUUUAACAACAAAAAUAGAUGAAACCAACCCCAUAAUGCUGUUACCUACCUAAAUCCUUUCACAUAGAAGUCAACCUGAUAAAAGUUGGCCAUGGUAGUUUACACUCUAUGGGCACCAGUCAAUACUAAACCCUGUCCAUCAAUUCCGACUUAUAUUAAUAUAUUCCAACCUAUAUCUUAAUUAAUAAUUUUAUAUUAUAUGUAUGUAAUUGAAAUAUACUUGCAUCUAUAUGAAAUGUACCCUAUUAAAAAACUAAAAUUUUGACUCUCUCAAAAUAAAUUUAAAAAUAUCAAUAAACUCAAAUUGGCAGCCGCCGAAAACAAAGGAAAAAGUCUCAAGGUAAACGGCUUCACUAUCACAAGCAAACUUCAAUUUCAAAAAAAAAAAAAAAAGAUUCAAUACCAAUGAAUGGGAAGAACUUGGAAAAUCCCAUGAAUCUUGUUUUCUCAAAGCUAACAGCAAGCAUAUUGUGAAAUGGAAGAAACAAAAUUUUCAUCCAUGGCUGAUGAACCAAAGGCCUCGAAAGCCAUAGAAUCUGAGAAACUAAAUGCUUUUACCUUGCAAAUAAAUUUGGCUACCUAAUUAUAAUGCUAAUGAGUUCUGGUUUCUCGUGAAUCACAUUACUUUUCGGGAAUCUCGACUCCCUGAUCUGAUUUCGAUGUCUUUCGUGUAUAUAUUUGUGAGAGCAAAAAGUAGCAGCACAAACACAACUUGGGCACUCAUGAUUCCGAAAUGGCUAAUGCUAUUACCAAUUUCCAUCCAGCUCCCCGUGUUCUUCACCUGUUAAAAACCCGAUUACCAAACCAGUGAGGCCCUCAGGAAAUAACUAUAACCACAGGUGAUUUCACAUGAUUUCCUUACUUUCAAGCAAAGCAAGGUUCAAAAAUGGCUAAAAUAUCAAUCAAUAGGAUCGGCUGCGCCGAACUUUAUUUCUGAAAAAGUUUGAUACCAGAAAGAAGAAGUGGACCGUCAUCACGUCUGAACAAAGAAUAACGAGGAAGUAGCAUCCUAUCCUUGGAACUUCGAGUAGUUUGGUUAUUGCACUGAAUGCACAUCUGUGUGUCUCAAAGAACAAACAGAACCAUGUUUAUAGUUAACUACUAUAUUCCAGCAUAUAUCGAUACGAACUUGCAUUCUUUACUAGUGACAUUGUUAUAUAAGCUUAACUUAAAAUGGGAAACCGAGACUAAAUAUGUCACCUUAACUGAUGAUCAUCUUUAUAGCAGAUUAAAGGCGAUUCACUCAUUCGGUGUUUCAGGGAGUUUUGAAACCACGAUGAAGUUUCUAAAGCUAAGGUGCAAUAGUUAAUGAAACUUCAUAAAAAUGUGAUUGAAUGUAUUAAUAGCCCAUAGAUGCAAAAGUCACAUAGCAUCAUGGCUAAAAACCGAUGGUCAAGCCAGUUUUGUUGAAGCAUCAUUGAUCAUUCUAACAUUUCUUUUAAAAUCGAAAAACUUACAUAACAAGCAGGAAUGGUAUGAAUAACUUGAAGAUGAGGAGUCCUGCCAUCAGAAAGGGCUGCAAUUGGAAGUAAUUCAGUUUGGCUUACAAGAAGAAACAGUAAAAGAUAUAUAGGUAGUUUAACCGUUACUUACACUAAAAACAGUGAUGAACCUGUAGACUGAUGAAAUCUCGAAACUAGCUAUACUUGCGAAAUUUCCCGUCCCAAAGAAGGCCACGUUAAAUAAGACCAUCUACCAAAGACAGUUCAUCAGCACUAUGUAAAUUACAAACUGUAAAAUCCUUUAAACUAAGCAAAUCUAUGUUGCUCCGACUCUUUAUUUUUCUUUAAGUACCCAUGUUUAUGACUUGUGUCUGAUAUAUGGGUACAGGGACAACCUCUAAGACCCUAUAUAUAUAUAUAUAUAAUAACUAUAAAAAACUUGACCAUACCCAUGUCGAACACAUAUCAUAGUCAACACUCACACCCAAGUAUGAGUAACAUAAACUGCCUAUAGCAAUCUGCUCCUUAAAAGAAAUAACAAUAAAACAGAUAGAGAAAGAUGACUUACAAAGGUUAAAGGUAUUCUCAUAUCCGACAGCUGCAAAUAUCGAGUAUCAUUUUCAAGGAAGGCAUGUUCCCCCAAGUUCUUUCCAGAAGCAGAAGAUUUGUUCACCUUAUGCACGUAGAGAAGCGAGUUUUCAAAUAGUAUCCAUGCAAUUAGCACAAGACCAAGCGCACCAUAGAAGACAGCUUCAUAUCUGCACGGGUUUGAAAACAAAGGGCAAUAAAUCAUAACAUGCCUCAAUUGAGCAUUAUGAUGACAUAAGUUUAAGAUGAGAUCUACCCAAUAGAUAAUAGAAGGAACGGUGGUGCAAAACCAAGAAAUAUAGAAUUGAGCCUGGACAAGAGGCCAUUUUCUGAAAACAAUGGGAGAAUCAUCGAGAACCCUGAAAAAAAAAACAAAUAUUUUAGGGACACAAUUGAUGGAAGAUAAUGUAAGCUUUUACUAAUGCAUGAUUCAAUGUAAUUUGUGUCGUUAUGACUUAGAGUCAGCAGUUUCAACUUGCAAUAUUAUAUAACGAGCAGCCAUUGGCAAGCACAAGAUCUAUGGAAGAGGAGUGAAGCCCACAAUAGACGUAUAUGUGGGUGUAUGUUACUCCGACUCUUUAAUGUUGGAGUACUCAUGUAUGUCCAACACCCAUGUUUGAUGCAUAUCCGGACAUGAGGUACAAGGAUACGACCCUCCCAAUACACACACACACAAAAAAAAAAAAAAAAAAACAUGAAAGAAAAAAUUGAACAUACCGGUGUCGCACAUACCUAUAUCUGACAUUCACACUUGAGUCCCAAGUAACACAUGAAGAUUAUAUAUAUUACAAAAGCCAAGGUUUUUCAUUUUGGGAAUUUAACAAAAAUCAAUUGUUUUCAGUAGCUACAGCCAUUUAAUCAAAUGCCCAUAUACAUCAUAUGCACAAGUUUGACGUGGUAACAACAUUUGACCAAGAAUGAGGUAGCAUUUUGAUGUAUUUCAAACAGAAAUUAAGAAACAUAAAAUUAGCAUCAGAAUGUGAAGAAGAUGGUUUUAAAAGUCUCCAAUUCAGGUUAAGAAACAUAGUUUCUUUUGUACAUCAUAAAGGUUCAAUGCCUUAAGACAGCUUCACUGAAGAGCCUGAAAAAAUAGCGAAAACAGAAGACUAUAAAAGCAUACCAGCAAUGAACCAGUUCAUCAACUGGUGUAUUGUGUGUAGUUCUUGCUUCACUGUUCUGUGAGAAGUAGAUAAAAACACCAUUACCGAUGAUAAUCCAACCAAAAGAGCCUGAUUUCAAGCAGUAAGAAAGCAGUUACUUUCAAUUGUGUUAACAAUAUACACGAGCUUAUCAUUCCAGCAAAAGGUAGAGAGAUAUGUUGCCUACCUGUAAUUGAAAGAGCAUAGGAAACCUGGGUUGUCUCUUUUCAUGAUUACAAAUGCCAAACCAGAAUCUAUUCACACCAGCUUUUAGGUCAAGCCACUUUCCAGUUAAUCCUAUUACAAUAACCAUCACUCCACUUGCAUUUCUGCACACGUUCAUGAGGCACAAGUAUAACCAAUUAAAACAUUAUAGAUGAUAGAAUUAUGUAAAGGGAACUGAUACUAUAAUUUUCCAUCAGUCUAAGGAAUUAAACUUUAUCAACAAACAAUAAUUUUAAGAAACCUUAACUUUUGGGAAUGAUAGAGGUUAGAAUGUGUUUGUAUUUCUAUUGUCGAACCAUUUCACCUAUCUUUAAAUAAAAGGAAAAAUCACGAUAAAGGAGGAACAAGGAAGGCAACUCACACCAACUUAUUAUUAUCAGGAAUUUCAGCAGGCAUUAAAGUAAAUAGAGACAAGAACCAACAAGUGAGACAAACAAAAACUGGAAUUCCAGAUCUCCAGGGAAUUGAUUUGUAAAGAUAUAUAGAAGCUAUGGCUCCGACUAUGAGGAAGCACCAAGUGUAGAGUUUUCUCUCAGUGAAGCUAUGCACCUGUACAAGGUAUAUUAAAACACGGUUUAGAACAUUAAAAUAUCACUUAAAUAAUCACAAAAACAACAGAAUGUUGUACCAGCAUACCAGGAGCUCAAGAAUGAUCACUGAGACCACGCCAAGGGCCAGAAGUUUAAUGACAUAGUCGGAUUCUCUCCCACGUAAGUAUCUCCAAAGUGCUUUUAUAAACUUAUAUUCAUUUAGUAUUUGUGUCCAGAGAAAUAUCGUCAUGGCAAAGUAUGCAUGGUAAAGUGGAGGGGAGCGCUCCAGAAAUAGCAGAACACUGACUACUGCCAUAAACAGACAGCCACAUAGCUGAGCCUGCCAUAUAGGAUGAUAUAUGUGAGAAUGUAGCAUCUAACCGGAAGAAACAAAUAAUUUAUUCCCUAUCCAGAAAAUGCUCAUUUGAUGAAAAAUAAUACAAAAAUGAGCAAGGAAAGCAAACAAACAUGAUAUAAAUAUUGUAAACUAAGCAUAAUUGAAAAAAAAGUUGGUGUCUGCAAAGAAACUAGGAGCACAAUUAAUAGAACCAAGUAGUUCUUGUCAGCUUUGAAAUAUAAGGUAAUUUUUUGAGAAACUAAUUUACCACAAGGCAUUUUGGCUUCAAGCUUCAUAAAACUUAUGAAAAACAUUUCCAUUUGUUUUCUCUUUUUUUUCCUCUGUCGUUAAAAGUAAGUUUAAAAGAGAUUAAGCUUACAUAGACAUUACUUUUCCUGUAUUAGAUUUCUGGCGAACGGCUUCCUCCUUUCUAAAUAUAUCUCCUGGCAAUAAAGUAUAAGCUUGCAGAACAUGAAGAACAAGAAAGACCAUCCAACUGAUAUAUCCAAGAGUAAUCAUGGCCAUCAGCAUCAGCAAAUCAUAAGUUUGAAAAUAAUGAAGUCCUUUCAGUGCCAAGCUUCUUAGAUUUUCUGAUAGCUGCAUGGCAGCUUUAUAGUCUCUAGCACUUAGCAAUUCCUCAAUUUGAUUCAACAUAGAGGAGUAAGACGCAAGUGGCUUGAAAGGCUUGAAAAACAGUGAAUGUGAUUGCUUUAUUUCUAAGUUUGUCAAGGAAAAGAGUUACAGAAUGCCAAUCCAUAAUCCAGUAACUCCUUCCACAUUUUAACACAGAAUCAAACAGAAUAUCCAAUAAUUGAAUAAAAAACAUGUAGAUAAGAAGUAAUAAGAUUUCGGUUGGCCAAAAUCAGGUAAAUGUUUAAAAAAGUUACAAAGGGUAUUUCUGAGUGAAAACAUGAAACACAACAUUCUGGUCAACAAAUCUAAGUUCAAACUUCAUGAGGAACAAAACUUAAAGAUAGACAAUGAUCUUAUUUUGUAAUAUAAAAUCUUUUCAAGGAAUUAUGGAAAACAAAUUAAGUACCAUGCUGCAUUGAACUAAAACUAGUCUAUGAAAAGGAUACGUGAUUUGCGCAGAAACUGGUUCAGAAUCUGUUUUGUGUUAGCUAGCACAGCUUCUACUUCUUCUUCCUGAACAUUAAAUAGUGAAUAUUUUUCAUCAGUUUUCUAUGCAUUUAUUGCAAUGAAAACUUGUUUUGCCGCACCGAAAUACCUAAUUAGUUGAUCUCCAUCAGAGUAUAAAAUAACCCAUCCUAAGUUCAUAACAGAUCUCAAAAUAAACAUUCUAAUGAAUAAUAUUCAGACUCACCUCUUUCAUGUCAACAUAACCAAGAGGUAAAUUCCCGACUGAAUUGACUGGACAAGGCAAACCAAGAAGAGUUGACUGCCAAAAAAAGUAAGGAGCAUCAGUUCAGUUGGGGGUUAAACAUGUUUCAAAGACUUUAAACAGGAUUUUUUUUUUAUCAACAUUAAACGACCAUGAGCGGUGCAAUAUCAGCUUGAUUGACAUCAACUCUUUCGAUGCCAUCGAGGUCCCAUUCUUUAGGUGUUGGCUUGUCAUGCAAAUGUUGAUCAAUAAAACGAAGAACAUGAUCCGAGUGAUCUUUUGCAGUGACUGGCCUGGGAUGUUGUACUCCUGCUCCCCAGACAACUAGAGGGGUAUCAGUGUUUGAAGGAUGCCCAUCCCCAUGACUUCCUAGAAAUCAAAAGCUAAUCAUGUCAGAAUCUGUAAUUAGACACGAUCAAAGAAAACAAAUAGAACUAGAGGAAGAAAGAUUUAAGUAGAAAACUAUUUUUGGUCUUGUAAAAAGUUACAUGUUACAAUGGACAAGGCAUGGCCUAGUGGUAGACACACCUUACUACCUUACUUCCAAGGAGAUCUCGAGCAUAGGGGUCUUAUCAAAAGAUUUUCAGUCUUACAACCUAGAGCAAGAUAACAAAAGUAAAUAAGGUGAAGUAUAUAAAAGAGUUCCCCAACCUUUGUCACUCAUUCCAUGAUCAGCUGUGAAGAUAUAUGAUGUCCGAUUGUCCUUGUAGUAAUUCUCAAGAAGAUUAUAAACACGUUCGGCAAUAUGAUCAACAACCUUUACAUUGUUGAGAUAAAUAGAUGAAAAGGGACGAUGUGCAUGACCAUUUGAAUCACAACCAAGUAGAUGCAGAAAUACAACAAGAUUAUCUUGUUCAAGUAACCUUUUCAACUUUGGGUCUUCAUUGGACCUAUUCAGCAGGCUCUGAAAUUGAUCAAAAGACCAUUCAUCCAAAAAGGAUGCAUCUGCAUUUACAUCAAUUGAAAUAAGCAUCGAACAAGAGUGAAAAUCAUAAAGAUGAAAUACAAUCAUUAGUAAGCAUCAUAAUACAAGGAUUUCAAGAAAGCCAAAUAUAUAGAAUGCUGAUACAAUUUAGUUGUAAACCUUGAAAGGUGUCAACAUAUAAAGCAUGUUCAUAUCAAUGUAAUCUAAUUGGAAUAGAAAUAAACAAGGUAUGAUUGGAAGCAAAGAAGCAGUAUCCAAAAUUACUAGCAGAGGUAUUUUCAAUUAAUAGUUCAAAAAAGAACAGUUUGAUGAGAUCCCUCUUUUUGUUUUUUGUUUUUUUCAUUUUAAGCUUCUUUCUUUUCUUUUAGAACGAUUUCAUAAUUUAUAAGAGAAUUUUGCCUUCCACAAAAUUUUAAGCAGACCAGUAGCGAAGUCUUCAAACUCGUGGGGAUAUGUAGCCCAAGUGCUGUGCGGCAAAGCACCACAAAAUAUUGGAACAAUAUCUGGACUACCAUAAGAAAUUGUAUGCCGGCUCCGGUUAAAAACUGAAUCAAAUUCAACUGGAUUAGCUUUCCAUCCUGCAAUCAAAAUGGAAAAGCUUAACAAAGGGAAAAUUUGUUGGUCAUUCCAGCAAGGUGAUGUAAUAAUGCUUAAAACAUUAACCUUUUGUAACUGCACUAGGGUCCUCAUAGAAACCAGCAAUUAUAGCAACAUGUCCAGGCCUUGACUCCGUUGGAGGCCGAGCAUGAGAUACUCCCCAUCGACCUUGAUUCUUAAUCACAUUUCUUAAAAAGGGUGCUCUGAAAUUCCCUUCCAAAUCUGGCUCGAAAAAUUUAUCAGCACGUAAACCAUCCGCUGCAAUGAUAUGGUUUUACCAAAACGUAGCAAUUAGUAAUUACACUAAACAUUAAAAAUGAGUAAUCAUUUCAGGAAAAUGAAAUGUUUCAAACAUUAAACUGUAGAUGCAUCACAAUAAUCAUGAACAGCCCAUCAUUGAGUUCUCCAUUUUUCACAUAAAAAACUUAGCCUUUUAGUACAAAGCUAAAAUAACAAACAUACCCAAAAGGUUCUUUGUUUCGAUUUAGCUGAAUUGCCAGAUUUGCAUCAAACUCAACAAGCCAUUUCUCACUAUCAAUCCUAUUCAACAAAAUCAAGGGGGGUUGAACCCUAAAAAGAGAAGAAAGGUGGGUUUACCAACAAGAAGAACAAGGCGUUUAGCAGGAGGAGAGAAGCGAGGGGAGACAAGAUCCAUGCCAUGAACAAUGGGGGUCUUGAAGUAGAUGUCGAAGAUGCUUAACAUGUAAACGGCAUGGAGGAUGACACCAAGUAUAACCAGCCAUGUUUCUCUUCUUUUAACCCAUUGUCGUCUCCUGGGUAUGCUUGAUUUGCCUAGCUUCGAAUCUCGGUUACCCAAGAUCCCAUCUAUAUCCAUCUUUUUCGUUACUUUGGUUUCUCUGUUGUAACCCAAAAUUACUUGGUCUCACCUCUCUAUAAACUCUUGCAAGAAAACCAACAAGAAAACUAUUACAUCUUAAAAGUCAGUUAUUUGGUUUUUUUUUAUUGUUUAUUUUUCUUUUCUCAUUUGUACAAGAAAAAUACUAAAAUAGUUUUUUUAUUGGAUAAUUAGUUUUUAAAUACAUCAAAAUAUAUUUUAAAAAAUAUAACUUAUUAUUUUAAUUACAAAACUAAACCAAAUAUCAAUCGAGUCUAGUUUAAUUUAAUAUGUGUAUUAUUAAAAGAAUCAAAUAAAGUUGAUGGGAUUCUAAGUAAGACAUCCACGUGAGACUAUCCUAUCUUUUCUCAAGAUGUCAUAUGUUCUAUCAGGUGAGGUAUAAUAAAGAUAGAGUUAACUUUUACUAUUUAAAAAAUAUCAUUUAUUAUUUAAGAGAGUUAACAUUUUUAAAACUUAUAUGGUUUUGCAAAUGAAAUCUUUUAUUUGAAAUUAAAUUACAAUUGAAAAAAUAAUUUCAAGAUAUGUUGAUUUUGUUAUAAUUUAAGCUUAUUUGAUUUUUUUUAAAUAAUAUAAGAAUUAAAUUGAUCUAUUUAAUAAUAGUAGGACUAAUUGGAUAUAGUCCUAAUAAUUAGCGGAUCUCCCGCAAACUUUAAUCCAACUAAAUCUCGAUAUUAAUAAAAUUGUAUCAAUUUAAUUCUUGCUCAUUGGGAAAAAAUUUCAAAUAAGGUUAAAGUUAAAAAGAGUUAAUGUUUAUUAGUGAAGACAAAGUGAAUGGUUUGUAAUUUCCUAUAAUGUUUUAAGGAUGUGUUUGGGCAUUACAUAGUAAUUGAAUAAAUGUAUAAUUAUUUGGGUUAUAAUUAUACUCUCUUGUAAUUAUAACAAAUUUUUAGUCUUUAAACGUGUCUGACUAAUAAAAUGUAAUUACAUCAUAAUUUCUCAUGUUUAAUAAUAUAAAUUAUAAUUAUACGAUCCCAUGCAGGAGCCAAUUAACUCUCAAUCUUUGGUGCCAAGAGAUUUUUUUGAGUUUUUCAAUCUCCCCUUUUCUUUCCUCUCAAUAUUCUCGAUUUCCUUCCAAUUUCUUCAUGAUCCAUCCAUGUCCCAAGUCCUCUCCCAAAUUCUUCCUUCCUUCAUUUAUGAUAUUCUCACGUUCAUUGCUAGAUUGAAAUUGGAAGGUCUUUCUCCGUUAUAAUUCUUAUGAUCCGAGCCUAUAGCACCGUUUGCCAACCCUAUACUACAGUGGAAGAGGAUACUCCACUCAACAUUCCAAAGGAUGCCAUCUAAUUUCUCAUUUACAAAUUCGUCCCCUCAGAUACUAAUACCCUCAACCUCACAUUCCACCUAUUGACGCAAACUAAGUUGCCCCUCCUUGUUUUUGAAAUAGGGCAUGAAUCUUGUUAGAAUCUCCAAUGCAAUACCAAGCACUUACCAAGCAUUUCAUCAAAUCCCGAAGGUCAAAUUCUGCUAUUAGACCUUAAAAAUUUUAGUCCUAACCAGAUGAUAACUAUUAAGUUACAUUAUUUUUAAAAUUUGAAGUGUUAAAAUAUAUUUUCGCAUAUUGGUCAAACUAAAUUAAAUGUACUAAACCCACAAUUUACACAAAAUACAAGGUCUAAUAGCCCAAUCCCAAACCUCAACUCAUCCUUCAUUCUAAGGACACCCAAAUAAUUUUCAUUUUAAGUCAUCCAAGGCUCUAUUUGUUGAGGGUUCGAUGGAUUAUUUGAUGCUAAGAGCCUAAGAAAUAUCUUCCAAGGAUGAUGUGCCUAGAAUUAAAAGAGUCAUAUUUAUGCUACUCAGAUUUAUUAUUUAUUUCUCAAUGUUAAAAUAUAAACAUAUAUUAGGCUUACAUUCUGCUUAGGAACAUAAUUUUUCAUUAACGAGAACAAAAGGGAACUUACUAUAUACUACUUAUUUAUCUUCAAUUAUAUGUUAAUUAAAACUAUUUGACAAGUUCAUAGCUUCUAGGAUUACAAACGAAGACACUACAAGAAAUCCAUCCAUUUCCUCUCUUCUUACAGAACUUAUUACUGCAAGCUUUUUUGCUAUUACAAAUAUGAAAAACACAUACUCAAGAAGUGUCGUUUUUUGGGGGCUUUGGUUGGGCUUUUCAAGGACAUUUGUGCUUGUUGCGGUGGGUUCUCAUAUCAGUAUAACAUUUGCCACACAUUUCCCUGUUGCCAUAUGUCCCUGGUGGGACACAUUUGCAUCUGUCACAGCAUGUCAUGCAAGCUCUCAAGCAUAGGUUAGUCCUUGAGUGUAAUUUGCACCUUUGUCCACAUAAUGGGAUGCAAUCUGCCAACAAAGUUGUCCAACAUGUUGUCAGAAAGAUAACAGAUAAGUUCCUUGAGUUUUGGUAAAUGAAAAAAUGAUGUUUUCUUUACCCUUUUUUGUCCUAACAGGUGGCAAUGGUGGACUUGGUGGCUUGUAAGGCGGUGCUGGAGUUGUUGGUGGCUUAACUGGAGGUGUAGGAACUGGGGGCUUAUAUGGGGGAGUUGGUGCUUUAGUUGGCGGUGCUGGUGCUGGAGUUGGUGCUUUGGUUGGGGGUGUUGGGGGCAUAUAUGGGGGAGUAGGGGCCUUGACUGGAGGUGCCGGUGCGGGAGUAGGGGGUUUAUAUGGGGGAGUAGGAGCCUUGGUUGGUGGUGCUGGUGCUGGGGGCUUAAAUGGUGGAGUUGGAGCCUUGGUUGGUGGUGCAGGAGCUGGGGGCUUAUAUGGUGGAGUAGGAGCCUUGGUUGGUGGUGCAGGAGCUGGGGGCUUAUAUGGUGGAGUAGGAGCCUUGGUUGGUGGUGCAGGAGCUGGGGGUUUAUAUGGUGGAGUAGGAGCCUUGGUUGGUGGUUUAUAUGGUGGAGUGGGGGCCUUGGUAGGGGGUUUAUAUGGAGUGGGGCCCUUAGUUGGGGGUGCUGGAGUUGGAGCCUUGUACGGCGGCACCGGAGUGGUGGGAGGCUUAACGGGUGGAGCAGGGAUAGGUGCCUUCACUGGAACAGGAGCAGCAUAUUUAAUCUGAACAGUGAUAUGCAACAAAUUUAGCAAAGUUCCAUUUACAGACUAUGGUCUUAUGCACCACAAUGGCUAAUAGCAUUCAGUAUGAAAAAAUACAAGAAAUACAUUAUCCAAAAAGAAAAAACAUGAAUCAGAUUGUUUCAAAAGAACCAAGUUUAAGAUUGUUACAACCUAGACAAGACAAAACAGUAAAAUAAAUGUUUGAAAAAUCACC